UUCGCGGAGCUCAAGGUGAAGGAGAUCAAGAACGGCCGCCUCGCCAUGUUCUCCAUGUUCGGCUUCUUCGUGCAGGCCAUCGUCACCGGCAAGGGCCCCCUCGAGAACCUCGCCGACCACCUCGCCGACCCCGUCAACAACAACGCCUGGGCCUUCGCCACCAACUUCGUCCCCGGCAAGUGAGCGCCGUCAGCUCAAGCUCUAGGCCGACAACUUCAUGGCUGAUGGAUGCUGCUGCAUGUGUGUCGUCGUCGAUCUCUGCUUCUUCCCGUUCUGAGAUUGAGUAGUCCGGACUGAUAGAUGUUGCAUGUGAGGGCGAGUCGAGAUGAGGAGUUGGUGUGUGUACACUACAAGAUGGUGUUUGUGUAAUAUCUGGCUAUUUUCUCAGAUUAAUCAAGGCAUCUCUGUUCUUCUGGUUAACUACUUGUCUCUCUGAACCUCUCAAUGUCAAACACUGAAGUUGUCUGAAUAAUUUUCUGAAAGUCCUAGCAGCUAAAGUAUUCAAAUUCAGAAAGACAUUUCAUACCAUCCAUAAUCCAUUUCAAGACUGAUCAACUCAACACUCCUGUAAAUACAACUUCCAUUUGUAUAUGUAACAAAAAUGCUCUCCAAAUCUGGGGUUUCCUGCGGUAAAAAAAGGAAAAGAAAAAUGGAAAGCUAGGACUAGUGCAACUUCCUUCUGAAGAAGAAAGUUACUGUUACUACGUACUGUGCUACCGGCCUUGCAGAACAGUCAUGGGAAUGGUGUUCCUGCUGUUCGUUUCUCUGGAUCUUCUCUUCCAUCAUUCCGUGGUACCCUGGUUGGUUAGGCGCCGGGAGAGACGCGGAUGCCACCACCGACGCGCUUCCGUUCUCCAAGAUUGACGCGGUGGGUCUUUUUGAUACCCAAACUCUUCUUUGGCGCCGGCGCCGGCGUGUGGGUGAUUUUCGGCGCUGAAAAGCCUGCGCCGGUCGGUCAUCGAUGGGGCGAGGGAAGGGGCCGGGCUAGCUAUUCCGGCCGGCCGGUCAGUCAUCGGUGACGGCGGCGGGGCGUGGCGGCUACGUCAGACAGGGUCAGUUUGAUUCGUGACCUGACCCUCAUGUUUGGAUGGCCAGUAUUGUUUGGUGUGGAUGUGAAAUGUAAAAUAUUUCUGCCUGGCUAGGCUUGUGUGAUCUGAAUCGUUUGGUUCAUGCCUGGACCAGGCAAAGCAUUAACGUCUCAUCAAUCAAUCCAUGUAGCAAUUAUUUAAUGUAAAUAUCCACCAGACUGUUGUUAUCCUCGUGGCCGCACGGCUAGGCGUUCGAAUUCGGUCGCCUGGGCAAGGCUAAUUGCAGUGCCUUGAGUCUAGCCAGGCUAAUUGCAAUGCAAAGGAAUCCAGGCCAGGCGGGCUUUUUUUUCAUAGGGUAGCAACCAAACAAGCUUGCAUGAAAUUCAGGCACAACUCCAAGCCAGGCAAAAGAUGCUUAGGUCGCAACCCAAACUGGCCCACAGUGCUGCGCGGGAAGUGCGAGAGGGAGAGACGCCAGACUUACUCGGCCACGUCGGGAGGGAGUAUAUUUAGGGAGAUUUAUGGAAAAAUACGGAGGUGGCGUAAGAUUUUUACUCCACUAAGACUUUUAAGGAUCUGUACUCUCUUAUGGCCUCUUAGGGGAUCGAGUAGAAAUGCCCUAGCAUGGUAAAGAUUUCAAUUCAGCAAGACAUUCUUAUGAUCCAUUUCAAGGCUGAUCAACUCAGCACUCCUGUAAAUACGUCUUUCAUUUCUCUCUGUGAUAAAUGCUCUACAAAUCUGGGGUUUUUUCCCCGGUAAAAAAUAAAUGGAACACUAGGACGAGUGCUGCUUCCCUGAAAAGGACUGCUGUACUACCGUCCCUGAAGAGCGGUCAUGGUCAUGGCGUUCCUGGUGUUCUCGAGAUCGCUACUCUGGCUCUUGUCUCCCAUCAUUUUAAGGUACCCUGGCUGGUUCGGCGCCGGAAGAGACGCGGAUGCCACCACCGGCGCGCUUCCAUUCUCCAAGAUGGACACGACGGACGACAUGAGCGGCCUCCUGCUCGGGUCGUCCUCGACGCAGAGGAGCCCGACGUGGAUGCAGAGCAUGGCCUCGUCCUGUGAACAGCUCUCUGCCAUGGAUGGAUCCACCAGCUUGCCUGCCUUCCCUUCCCUCCACAGGCUCCAUGCCUACAUGAAGCAAUCAAAUCAACCAUCUGUGUAUGCCUUUUGUAAAGAUGAAUAUGGAUUUGACCAUGACAUGGAGUGUGCUGCAAAAGGAAGUUAACUGCAAGUAUAUGGUUUGGCAUUGUCAGUUUUUCUUCAGGUGCUUACAUAGAUUGUCAAGCUAGGACACUCCAUGAUGCCGUCGAUUGCGCGUAUCCUGAUGCCGCUCACGAUCUCAAGCAGCAGCACGCCGAAGCUGUACACGUCGGACGUGACCGACAAGACGCCCUCCAUCGAGUACUCGGGAGCAAUGUAGCCACUGUCCACACAUUACUUUUUGGUCAGAAGAGGUUCCACAUUUUUCUUAAAACAAAAUUGUACUAUUUGUUAAAAAAAACUCAAAACAAGAAUAAUUUCUUUUUCUUUCCGGGUGUUGAGAUAACUCACUAUGUUCCGACGACUUUCCGGGUGUUGGCUUUCACCUGGUUGUCGCCGAAGAUCUUGGCCAUGCCGAAGUCGGCGAUCUUGGGGCGCAUCUCGGCGUCCAGCAAUACAUUGCUGGCCUUGAGGUCCCUGUGUAUCACCGUUAGCCUCGAGUCCUGGUGUAGGUAGAGCAGCAGCCGAGGAGGCGCACCAGGUUCCGGUGCUGCAGCUUGGCGAUUAGAAUGGCCUCAUUCUUGAACUCCUCUGCUCCCUGAUCCGAGUCCUUGCUCAGCCUCUUCACCGCGACGACCUGACCGCCAUCUAAUGUUCCCUUCCCAAUGGUAAAAGACACAAGUAAGAUUUUGAACUGCUUUUUAGCUGUUGAAAUUGUUUGACUGUAUUUUUGUAGUUCAAGGGACUGAAAGUUAGCAAAAGUGGAUAAAACGUGUAGUACUACCUUGUAGACCAUGCCGAACCCUCCGCGUCCGACCAUGAGUGUUUUGGAGAAGUUGUCCGUGGCGGCGACAAUGUCGGCGAACCGUAUGGACGGGAACUCAAGGUCUCCGUUGUGAUCUGCUCUGAUUUUGCUCGACGUGUUCGUGUUCUCAUAUUGGCUCUCGGCUUUUCUUCCCUUGGCUGUGAAAUUGGUGCUGUGAGCAUUUUUUUUGUGUGUGUGUGAAAGAAUGAUCGAGCAUCACAUGUUCAGAGUUAUUAAUAAUGAAAAAAAUGGAAGAAAAUACAACUGUACCUCUGAAUCUCCAGAACCAUACAAACAAAAUGCAUGUGAGCAGCAGGACGGAUGAUAACACCGGCAGGGCUGUCUUCACCCCCCUUCUGCUGGAGUUUCUACCUGUGUUGGGCAGGGCUAACACCGGCACUGCCAAAUUUGUUUGGUUUGAAUUCGGUAAAGAUUCAACAGAUAAAAGAUGGCAAAAGAAACAUAUGUUUCUGCUGUACCUGUGGAGGCAGCAGCAACGGGCACGCGGAGGUAGAGCGUCUCGCCGCCCCACCGCGCGCCCAUCAUCUGUGCGUCGACGAGCUCCUCCGCCCACACCACGCACUUGAUCAGUUGGCCAUCUGUGCUGCUGCUCUGCACGUUGGCGUACGCGUACGCCACACACGAGCAGGUUGCGGCGCACCUGGCCGCGCACUCCCCCGCGCUCCGGUUGGUGGAGUCGAUCGAGAACUUGUCCGGCACCUUCAUGCCCGGCAUCGCCACGAAACCUAUCCCGAUGCCGCCGCAUGGCGGCAGCGCCUGCUUUCGCCGGCACCCCUGCUCGAACCUGCCGGCGCUCCACUCCGCCGCGCUCGCCGGCUCGAAGCCGUCCAGGCACCUGCACGCCGCCGUGACGUCGCAGUACCCGUACGCGCCGCAGCCACUGUAUGUGCUGCACCCGCUCGACGGCCACGACUGGAGCGUGGCCCACGCCGACACGGUGCCGUUCCAGCUGAGGAGUUGGAACCUGCCGGAGCUUGUCACCACACACCGCGUCGGCGCCGCGCCGUCGGAGACGGUGAUGACCAUGGACAUCUCCUCGUCCGUGCGGACGAUCGCCGUGUAGAUUACUGUGCCGGCGCUGACGUACAUGCUGAUCACGGCGUAACUCCUCCAGAUGGGAGUUCGCCAGUAGGGGCGCGUCCCGUUCCACAUGAGCAGCUGCUGUGACGUGCUGGGGUCCAGGCCGUAGGAAAAGCGCCCCGGUGCCGGGUCGCCGGGGGAUCUCCAGGACACGAUGCGGUCGCCCUUGCCCGUCCGGUAGCUCAGCCGCAUCUUCAUCCCCGGCACGAACGUGUCCGUCGGGUGAUCGAAGCUCUGCCACACAACCGUGCCGUCCAAGAGCUGGAUGAGCAGGUUGCCGUCGUUCCCGAGCUCGGCUGGCGCCGUCUGCGAGGACGAGCUGCCCACGCCGGUCGUGUUCCAGAGCACGAGGCCGUCGGCGUCGGACAGGACGAGGCGGGAGUCGCUGGCCAGCGCGAGCGUCGGGGCGUCCCGGUUGGCCACCCAGAUGACGGUGCGAGGCCCGGGAAUGCCGUUGUACCAUAUCCCGAGAUACCGUCUCGCCGGACCGGCUGCGUCGUCUGGGGAGAAGUAGCCGAGAGCGAAGGCGCCACCGUCGGACACGAGGGACUGCCCGGCCAGGAGCUUCUCCCCCACGGCAAGCUGGUCCUUGGCCGACGCGCACAGCCGGAAGACGGCGACGACGAGGACGAGGACGGCAGAACGUGACAGGUCCAUGGAGGAUCAACUUCAAGGUGCCCCGCGGGUAACGAGAUCAUCACUUCAUCAGGAGACUUGAUUUUCUACUCCCGGCCGGGGGCACCUAAACAAAGAGAGCUAGCUAGCUACCGCCUUGACGUUUCUCUGGGCGGUACGUACGUACGAGAUCAUUCUUGUCCGCAAGGCGAUGUCGCCAUUGUACGUAGCUAACCUGUCGCCAUUGUAGCUAACCACACGGUGACGCUACUUUGCGAGUUUUUUAUUUUUUUGACAUGGCUACUUUGCGAGUUCAUAUUGACUAGUUUCAUCAUGCUAGUCUUAUAGUCUUAUUCUGCUAUCCUGUGUGUGCGCGUUUCACCUGCGCUAGUGCAUAAGAGCAUCUCCAAUAUCCAAUAGAUACGGGCUAACGCGACGCGUUAAAAAAAAUACAGCACCGAAAUAGCGCUUUUGCGCGCAGGAAAGAGCGUCUCCAACAGACGUGGUAAAAAAAAAAUACAGCGCCGAAAUAACGCUUUUGCGCGUGGGAGGUUUACCAGACGCACAAAACCACAGCGCCCAACCUGGCGGACCCAUGCGCAGCUGCCCGCGCGCUCAAGCCGGCGCCCCAAAUUUGCAGCUCCGCUGCCUGCGUGCACUAAAUUUGCAGAUUUGUUUUUGUGCGUGCUCUAUUUUACAGCUUCUACUGGAGCGUUAUUUUUGGUCACGCACGCGCUAUAUAGAAAUCUUUUUCAGCACGCGCCUUAUAUAGCGCGUCUGUUGGAGAUGCUCUAACUCGACCUACCUUGCCCAACAAUGACAGUUUUAUUUUUUAACACAUUAGAGCAUCUCCAACGGCCGCGUAAGGCGCGGCGCGCUAAAAAGGCGUUUACAAUGUCAGAAUUGUGAGUUUUUGCGCCGACGAGCACUUGCUCCGGCGGUCAUUGCAAAGUAUAGCGUGCUCGAGCUGCUCCAGCAGCCGCCGCAAAAAAACUGCAUGCACGCUUAUCACAAACAAUAUAUGCACUCCAAACACAACCAAGAAGAUCAAAAACAAACAAAGUAAAUCAACAAUAAAUAGUUUAAUUUUAUUACUACAACUCAAACAAAUAAUUUAUCUUGCAAUACAACAAAUAGUUCAACAAUACAACAUCAAUUUUCGGGAAAAAAAAUACAACAUCAAACAUACAAAUCAUGAUGCUCUUUGUCGGCCAUUCCAUGCCCACCACUCCUCGAUGAAAUCCUUCCGAAGAUCAUCAUGCGUUUCAGCAUGUCGAAUGGCACGAUAGGAGGCAACAAAUCGGGCCACCCUCGCAGCCCUCCGUCAUACUCGCACAGGAUGUCCCAAGAGCUCAUACUAAGAGUACUCUAAAUCUUGGCCACGCUCAUUCUCGAUGAUCAUGUUGUGCAUGAUCACACAAGCGUGCAUGAUGUACCAAAGCAUCUUUUGAUCCCAAAAUCUAGCCGGUCCUCUCACAACAGCAAAUUGGGCUUGCAAAAUCCCAAAAGCUCUCUCCACAUCUUUCCUAGCCGCUGCCUGAGCACUGUGAAAAUCAAGAUUUUUCUUACCUUCCGGUUUUUUCAAUGGCUUCACAAAUGUUUUUCACUUUGGGUAGAUGUCAUCCGCAAGAUAAUAGUCAUAGUUGUAUGUAUGGCCAUUUGCUACAAACUGUACCGGUGGCAGUUCACCAUUUGCAAUCUUAUUCAUGAGUGGUGACCGAUUAACAACGUUGAUGUCAUUCAAAGAUCCAGGCAUUCCAAAAAAGCAUGCCAAAUCCAAGUGUCUUGAUCGGCCAUCACUUCAAGGAUUAUAGUGGAACCCUUUUUUGGCUGUGUAAUUGCCCAUGCCAUGCCUUAGGACAAUUCUUCCAACUCUAAUGCAUGCAAUCUAUUGAGCGAAGCAUAUCUGGGAAUCCGCGAGCUUUGUUCAUCUCCAAAAGCCUUGCGGCGUCUUCAGCAUUGGGAGAUCUCAAAUACUCCUGGCGAAACACUUGCACAAUUCCGACUGCGAAGCGCUUGACACACAUGAUGGCUUGACUCUCACCCAUGGCCAAGUGGUCAUCAACUAGAUCAGCCGGAAUACCGUAUGCCAACAUACGCAAAGCGGCUGUCACCUUCUGAAUGGUGCUAUGCCCGAGCUCUCCGGUGGCAUUCCUCCUUUGUUGAAAAGACCGACCAUGGCUCGCCAGUUUCUCUGCAAUGCGCCUGAACAACUCGGUGCUCAUCAUAAACAGUCGCCGGAAGUACGACUCGGGGUACAUGGGAUUAUCCAAAAAAUAGCGCCCCAUCAAUAUGUUGUCGGCAUCGAUUUUAUCCCUCCAAAUUUUCUUCCGACCCAUAACCGAACCACCGUGCUUCGAUUUUUUACUGAUGUGCAUAGCUAGGAUCAUUGUAAGAUGGGUUAAUUAUCCUUUUGCCCUCGGUGGUGUCCAUGUGCUCAGUUUUGCCCUCAGAUGCGAAUUGUGCUCAGUUUUGCCCCUAGACCAUGCACAACUACUAUGACGAGGCCAAACAACCAUAUUUGAGUCCAUUCCGUCCACCGGCGUCAGUGGUUGUGGGUCCGGAGCUUACACGUGGGACCGCGUGGACGUGGGUCCGGAGCUGACAUGUAGGCCCGUGCAACUAAAUCCCCAAAUCAUUCGUAGGAUUCUAGCCCACUCUGCCCAUCCGCCGGCCGGCUGCCCUGCGCCACGGCCAGUACCUGCCCCGCCACCAGCUGCACGGCCUGCUCCGUCGUUACUGUCCUACACCUACGCUCCACGGCUACCUGCGACGCCCGCCACCUCCCUGCGAUGCCACGGGUGGGGCGCCCGCCACCUGCUGGACCCACGGUGCGGCCUCCUUCCAUGCGCCCGGGCGGAGCGCUCAAAGGUGGGGGGCUGCUGGAGCUGUUUGAACUAGGAGGAAGAACCCUAGGGCGAAAUGGCGAGCAGCGGCGACCCCGGAGUAUUUGGCGAGGUAGGCAUCGGGCCAGAGAUCCGCCGCGUCCACGAGUGGGUUCCCGAGGGGUAAGUCUCGCCUCCUGUUUAGAUUGAGCUUAGUUGUGCAUUUGAACACUCAAGUCGAGUAAGUUUGCCCAAUUAGUGUGCUUAUUGCGUCUCUGCUUUUCGUCGGUUAGGAUGGAGUUGCGGUUUGCUUUCUUGGUGCACAUUAGAAGGGACCGGUACAUGUUCGAUGCAAAGGAUAAGAAGAAAAUACCAAGGAGGUUCCGAUUAUCGGUUGCCAAUGGCUAGUAAUUGGAGUUUCAGACAAUUUGAGGAGGUAAUUUGUAGCCAGAAAGGUUAGUAAUGAUGAAGAGCUGGCUACCAUGCUUGCUAGGCAUAAAGAGAAAGAUAAUUUUCAUGUGAGGCUGCAAGUUGAUGUGCUUGAGUAGGCAUUUUGACCUAGGAUGACGGGUGCAACAUAUCGGGGAGAACCAAGUCGUCGUAAUGACAUCUCUAGCCAGAACAAUUCAGUUGGUGCACGGCGACGUGGUGGCUCGACGAGUGUGGGAAAUAGCAGUAGGGUCCCCCGUGAAGUGGAGCUUGAUGACUACAAUUCUGGGGUUGAUGAAGAGAAGCUAUAUUCUGAUGUUAUUCGGAAUUUAUGACAGGCACCUCGGGCUGAAAACCACGAUGAGGCUCACAAUGCAGUCCGUGUGGAUGAUGACGCGGUGGGUGAGGACGAAGACCUUGCAGCUGUUGAAUGGGACCCUUUGAACCCUCAUAUGGAAGAAGGUACAAUUUUUGCAUCCAUGAAUGAGUGUAGAAAUGCACUUGUGACAUACUGCAUCAAGGUAGAACGUACUUUCAAAGUUGACAAGAGCGAUCAAGUACGUUACAGAGUGCACUGUCCGACUGAGGGUUGUCCAUGAAGGCUGCUCGCAUCUAAAAUGCGAAAUAGCACUAAUGUUCAGGUCAAAGUGAACCCUUUUAAGCACACAUACCAGGAAUCAAUCCUUAGGAAGGAUACAAUCAGUAGAGCCAAGUCAAGAUGGGUGGCAGAAGAAGUAAAGAAGUGGGUGAAAGAAAACCAUCAAGUGGGUCCAAAGGAAUUGCAGAAGAACAUCAAAGAUAAGUUCAAGAUAGAUUUACCAUACAUGAGGUUGUUCAAUGGUAAACAACAUGCUAUGGAUUCUAUUUAUGGUAACUAGCAGGAAAGUUUUCAAUCGUUGUAUUCAUUCAAAGGUGAAGUGGAGAGGACAAGCCCAGGUAGUAUUGUAGAUAUUGAUCACCACACCGUGGAGUACACAUUCAGGGGAGUGACAAAGACCAAGGAAUGCUUUAGGAGGGUUUUUGUCUGCUUUGAGGCUUGUCGCCGGGGUUUUUUGGCAGGUUGCAGGCCUUAUUUGGCUAUUGAUGUCACUUUUCUCACGGGGAGGUUUAAAUGACAGUUAGUAGCAGCUUGUGCAGUUGAUGCACACAGUUUUGUAUUUCUAGUUGCCUACGGUGUGCUGGAGACAGAGUCUGAGGAGAGCUGGACUUGGUUUUUGCAUAAUCUGCGUCGGGCUAUUGCACAUCCAAAUGGGUUGGUCAUUCAUACAGAUGCCUGCAAAGGUUUAGAAGUGGUCGUGGACAAUGUGUUCCCUGGAGUAGAGCAUAGGGAAUGCAUGUGUCACGUUGCUGCAAAUUUCAUGAAGAAAUUCAAAGGAAAGGUGCAUACCGAUAAUUUAUGGCCAACAUCUUUGACUUGCAGUGUGAAGAAGCACAACUACCACUUGAGGAAGUUAUACAUGAAUCCCAAAGUGAAAGAAUACUUGGAAACACACCACUCCAAGUUAUGGGCCAGAAGCCAAUUCAGUGAACUGAGCAAAGUUGACUAUGUGCACAAUAAUCUAGCAGAGUCUUUCAACUCAACGAUCCGGAAACUAAAGUGUCAUUAUGUGGUGGAUUUGCUUAAUAGGAUAAGGAUAGAAUACAUGCAAAGAUUUCAUUAUCGUGCAGGAAUAACCGAGGCAAAAUUCAUGGGCCACAUUAUCAUCCCUGCCGUGAUGAAUGAACUGAAGCAGAAAACAACAGGCUUGGAAAUGAACAUGACUCUUUGCUCAGAUACCACAGCAGAGAUAUCAUAUUUGGAUAAAGAGAAGAGGGAAUGGAGAUAUCCAAUGGAUUUAGAAGCUAGAACUUGCAGUUGUAGGCAAUGGCAGAUAACUGGGUUGCCAUGAAUUUAUGCCUUGUUUUUCACCACUUCUCUCCCAGGUCCAGUAGGGAACAUACAACAGUAUGUGCAUGAUUACUACUUUGUUGCAAGGUUCAAAGCCACAUAUGCUUAUGCCUUGCCUGCUAUGGAGGGAAAACAACAAUGGAACAUGAUGGACCCUGGAUUCAAGCUUUGCGCUCCAAUUCUGAAGAGAGCAGCAGGUAGACCAAGGAAGAGUGGAAUCAGACCUCGCAGCGAAGGAGCUGGACUUGGAGUGAGGAAGCGUAAGUGCACAAGGUGUGAUGGGUCUGGUCAUUUUGGUAAGUAUUGUGAUAACCCAGUAGAUCCAGCGUUUGGAGAGAGUUUCGAUGAAGGCUUCGAUGAAAAUAUUGGUCAGCAGCCGGUUGCCUCAACAGAUGAUGAAAAUGAUGGUCAACAACCGGUUGCAUCAGAUGAGUAUUUUGACGAGGUUCCAAAUGAUGAUGGCCAACAGCCGCAUGAUUUUGACGAUGAUCCAAAAUAUUCUCCAAAUAAUGAUUCAAGUGAGGCUCCAAAUGAUGAUCCAAGUGAAGCUCCAAAUGGUGAUCAUGGUGAUCCAAGUGAGGCUCCAAAUGGUGAUCAUGGUGAUCCAAGUGAGGCUCCAAAUGAUGAUCCAAGUGAGGCUCCAAAUGGUGGCCAACCUUCUGUUGUUGUGAGUUCUGCUAGGUAUGUAAAUCUUGCAAGGGUCAAAUAGUACUAUACAUUUAUCACUUGACAUGAUCUCAUUAUCCUUUAUGUUUUGCACAGCUCUAUGAUAGGUUUGAAGAAGACGCACAAGGUACCGACAACCAAGAGGAGAAGAGAAGAAGAAAUGAGCACAAGGUGCACGAGAAGCAAAGUGAUGGCAAGAAGCUCAAGGAACAGACAGAAGCCCCACCGCUACUUAUGAAUAAUUAUGAAACAUUAUAAAUAAUAUUGUAUUUCUGUUGGAUGAUGUUGGACCUAUAUUAGAACUAUGUUUGACAUGAUGUUUAAAUCUGUUGGAUGACGUUUGAAUGAGCACAUGAUUUUUUCUUUUUUUGAAUUUUGUUUUGCUCAUUUGAAUUCUGGUCAAACCUAACUUUGACCAAGAUUUAAACAAGUCUAAAACAUCAAAAUGAAAAGCUAAGCCUGGAUCCUUCUUAGUCAAUCCAAAAUGAAGCUGUGGUGAGGUUUUUGAAAUUUUCAUGAAAAAUAUGCUAAAAAGAGGGGUCCAAAGGUAGGGUAAACGGCCUCAUUUCUAAGCAAGGUUUUUUUCGACCUUGUCUAAAUCAGCCAAAUAACUUUCCUACACAUAUAUUCUAUAUAUACAGACUAUGUGCGCUAGUUUUUCCAUUUUUUUGAUUUCUUUUUAAUUUGUUUUGCUCAUUUCAAUUCUGGUCAAACUUAACUUUGACCAAGAUUUAAACAAGUGUAAAACAUCAAAAUGAAAAACUAAGCCUGGAUCCUUCUUAGUCACUCCAAAAUGAAGUUGUGGUGAGUUUUUUUAAAAUUUUCAUGUUCAUUUCCCCAAAACACUUCUCUUCACUUCAUACAAGAGAGUUUGAGAUACUCGAGAUAUCACACAAUACACAUGAACUUAUCGUUUAAAUGUAUGUAAACCUUGUUUAUCAACUUAAAUCGUUAGUAUAUGACAUAAAAAGACUAUGUGCGCAUGUUUUUUAUUUUUAUGAUUUUUAUUUAAUUUAUUAUGCUCAUUUGAAAUCUGGUCAAACAUGGCUUUGACUGCUCCAAACACCUCCCAAACCCCGCUAACCCUAGCGUUGAACAAGGACCGUCCAUCUAACCCUAGCGACGAUCAAGGGUCGUCGAUCUAACCCUUCUAGAAGGAAUCUGCGGGGAGGAGGGGGGCGAUCCGCGAGAUGCAAUCUGAUUGGCUGGGAGAUUGUUUUUUUAAAACAAAUACCGGACGCGUUGGAUGGACCAUUGGGCCGUCUUGUUGCCUGGGCCUGAGACCGCAGUAAAUAGCCUGUCUCAGCCUUUCCAGGCCUUGCAUGCAUGGGAGGCGGCGACGUGGGUUUGCAUGCACGGGAGACGGACGUGCAUGCAUGCGAGCAAGGCCAGCGAGGCACGCUAGGCGGGCUAGGCUAGCGAGGCGAGCUAGGUGGCCAUGCACGUAUUGAUUCAGAGUUAGGCAUUACGGCAGUGGUUCAGGGUAGCGAGUCAAAUGCACCACCCGGUCAAAGAGCUAUGCAGUGAUUCAGAUGCACGCACGCGUCCCAUGCAUCGUUUUCGUGCAAAAAUGAAAGAGUGCAAAACGUAACGGAUACACACACACGUCCGGAUUCACAUACGCACCGUUCUCAUCCUUUCUCUCUUCCUCUCCCACCCACAGGCCUAUAAAUGGGGUGCCUUUCUUCCUCUCUCACCCACAAGCCAGAUCCGAUCCAUUCUCUCCAACUUCAAACACCCAAGCGACCGAGCCCUCCCCAAGCGAGACCAAGUAAAUAUGCAGUUCAACGGGCCGACCUUUAACCGUCCGCCUGUCAUGCCGGAGCUGUGCUAUCCACCGGGCGUGCUCGUGGAGACGGAGCUUCGUGUGCGGGCUAUUUCAAGGUGGAGGGGUUCCGUCGAACUCACCCGCGCCUUCCUCAGAGCCGGCUAUGCCCACCUCCCACGGGGCUCGCCUAGGAUGUUCACCCUCAACGAGGUUCGUGACUACGGCGACAUCCUCCUACUUCCACUAGUAGAAAAAGGACCUAAUGUGAGACACAUUUGUCCCGGUUCGAUUUUGGCCCGAUACUAAUGGCAUCAUUAGUGCCGAUUCGAACGGCUAUGCAUUAAUGUUGGUUCGUGUUGAACCUUUAGUACCGGUUCGUGCCACGAACCGGUGCUAAAGGGGUGGUGGCAGGCUGGCGUCAGGCCGGGGCCACAUGAUCACCUUUAGUACCAGUUCGUGGCACAAACCGGUACUAAAGGGCUAACCUUUAGUACCUGUUCGUGCCAUGAACCGGGACUAAAGGGGUCUGACCUAUAGUCCUGGUUGGAGACACAAACCGGGACUAUAGGGCAAUUUUCAAACUCUACCCCCCGGUGUAUUGCCAUUUCAAUUUUGAAAAAAUCAAAAGAAAAUGAUAAAAACUUCAGAAAAUAAAAUCCUUCGAGAGGUAGUUAUAUUACUACACCUACUAGUUAUGAAAAUUUGAAAACUUAAAUUUGGACAUGUUUUGCAAAAAGUGUAGGGAAAAUGUAAAACGGCUAUAACUUUUGCAUACGAUGUCAGAAAAAAACGUAUAAUAUAUCAAAAAAUUCAGCAUGAAAAUCCGCAUCCGUUUUUGACCACCUAUGACCUGUUUGCAAUUUUUUAGAAUCCUCAAAUUCCAAAGGAAAAAAAGAUAUGCUCAAAUUUCAGUUUUUUAAUUUUGGUCAAACUAUGGUCAAACUACUUAUUCAAGAAGUAUUAAUGUUACUACAUAAUUAUUCAAGAAUAUUAGUGUUACUAAAUAAUUAUUUCAAUUUUUUGAAUUUUGGUCAAAUCUGGUCAAACUAUGGUCAAACUAUGGUCAAACUAUGGUCAAACUUAUUCAAGAAAUAUUAGUGUUACUAAAUAAUUAAUGUUUUUUAGAAUAAUAGUUUCAAACUCAAAUGGUGAGAGUGACCUAAUGCUCAAGCUAAACUACUGAGGGUUAAUAGGAUUGACAACUUACAUUUGUCAGGAAAACAACAAGUGCAGACUUGGAAAGUAGGGAAAUAGAACUCCGAAGUUAAGCGUGCUCAGGCUGGGAGAGUGAGAGGAUGGGUGACCGACCGGGAAGUUAGACGAUUUGGAAUGAGUGAUCCACACUUGAGCAGUUAAGAGGGGUGAUUAGAGACUAAAUCAUCAAAUAAUUCAAUUCAAAAAAUUAAAAAUAAAAAAAAUCCAAAAUUCUCAAAAAAAAUCAAAAAAAAAUCUUUAGUACCGGUUGGUAACACCAAUCGUCCCCCAUGCCACGGUGCGAGCUCACGCCACAUGGUGGACCUUUAGUGUCGGUUCGUGCCGAACUGGUACUAAGGGGGGGGGCUUUUAGUGCCCACACUUUAGUGCCAGUUACAAAACCGGCACUAAAGGCCCUUACGAACCGGUUUAAAGCUCCGUUUUCUACUAGUGUGCUCACGGUCACCUUCACCAACCAGUUUGACGCGUGCGAGCUCCUCGGCCAAGUCUUUUGGUGCGGCUGUGAGGCCAUCUUCUUCACCAUGUACAACAUUUACACGAACUACGAGAGCAUCUUCACCACUCCAGGCCAGAUGCACUCCCUUCCCUACGACGAGGAGGUGGAGGUGUGAAGAUGAAGACGGUGUUGAAGGGGCGCGCGGCCAAGGUGGAAGAAGGAGGUCAAGAUGAAGAUGUUCAAGCCCGGAGUCAAGCUCGUCAUUUUUCGUUUUUAUUUUGUUGCUUUUCUAUGUCGUGUCGUGUCAUGUUUCGUCAUGUGUCCGUGAACUUAUUAUUAUUGCUUAAUGUAAGGGUACAGUGUGUUGCAUCUUAUCUAAGUUAUUAGAGUUUAUUAUGUGUGUUAAAAAAUGCCCGUGCCCAAACAUAUCAUUUCUUUCCUAAACCAAGUCAUGAAGUUCGAGAACUUGUGGUUUUCAUUAAUGAAAAUCGGAGGGGGUGAGAAGCCCUCUCUUUCAUUCAGAAAAAAACAAGUCAUGAACUAACAUGCAAAUUUAUUCCCUUUAAAUCCUAAACCAAGUGCCACUCUAACCAAAAUCAUGUGGCAGUGCAAACAUACGUUUUCAACCUUCCAACCCUCCAAAAACAAAAUAAAGGAAAACCACUCUCACGCGUGUGCAAACAUUCACGGUCUCACUAUGUAUACCUUCAUUCCCUACCCAUGUCAAUGUCUUUCCAUCUGUCCUAGCGGUUACCAGCGCAGCCCUAAACGCCAGAAACCCAUGUGGUCCUGGGUUCGAGUCCCCAGCUGCAUUAUUUUUUUCUCAAUGUAAUGCCCUUAAAAAUGUUCAUUUAUUUUGGCACCAGGUGUAAACCUCUACCAGAGCUGAGGCACAUUUUCCAUGACAUUUUGGUCUUUGAUUUAAAUCAUGGAGUAAUUAAAUUGCUAUUAAAUAUUUAACAGCUCCAAAAAAAUUCUAACCUUAAUUGUUUGGCUCUGGAAUAAUUCAAUUAGCUUCCACAAAAUGUUUCAGCAUUAUGAUUUACUUCCUAAAUUAAAUCAGAAUAGAAAACAGAAAAACACGCAAUAGAACCCCCGAAUGGGCCUAAUUGGAUAUAGUUGGCCCAUUAGUCUAGCCUGCACUUGGCUCUACGCUCUGAAUUUGGCCCAAGAGCUGAAGGAAAUAUGCCCUAGAGGCAAUAAUAAAGUUAUUAUUUAUUUCCUUAUAAUCAUGAUAAAUGUUUAUUAUUCAUGCUAGAAUUAUAUUAACCGGAAACAUAAUACAUGUGUGAAUACAUAGACAAACUUAGUGUCACUAGUAUGCCUCUACUUGACUAGCUCGUUAAUCAAAGAUGGUUAUGUUUCCUAACCAUGAACAAAGUGUUUUUAUUUGAUUAACGGGAUCACAUCAUUAAGAGAAUGAUCUGAUUGACAUGACCCAUUCCAUUAGCUUAGCACCCGAUCGUUUAGUAUGUUGCUAUUGCUUUCUUCAUGACUUAUACAUGUUCCUAUAACUAUGAGAUUAUGCAACUCCCGUUUGCCGGAGGAACACUUUGGGUGCUACCAAACGUCACAACGUAACUGGGUGAUUAUAAAGGAGCAUUACAGGUGUCUCCAAAGGUAGAUGUUGGGUUGGCGUAUUUCGAGAUUAGGAUUUGUCACUCCGAUUGUCGGAGAGGUAUCUCUGGGCCCUCUCGGUAAUGCACAUCACAUAAGCCUUGCAAGCAUUGCAACUAAUGAGGUAGUUGCGAGAUGAUGUAUUACGGAACGAGUAAAGAGACUUGCCGGUAACGAGAUUGAACUAGGUAUUGGAAUACCGACGAUCGAAUCUCGGGCAAGUAACAUACCGAUGACAAAGGGAACAACGUAUGUUGUUAUGCGGUCUGACCGAUAAAGAUCUUCGUAGAAUAUGUAGGAGCCAAUAUGGGCAUCCAGGUCCCGCUAUUGGUUAUUGACCGGAGACGUGUCUCGGUCAUGUCUACAUUGUUCUCGAACCCGUAGGGUCCGCACGCUUAAGGUUACGAUGACAGUUAUAUUAUGAGUUUAUGCAUUUUGAUGUACCGAAGGUUGUUCGGAGUCCCGGAUGUGAUCAAGGACAUGACGAGGAGUCUCGAAAUGGUCGAGACAUAAAUAUUGAUAUAUUGGAAGCCUAUGUUUGGAUAUCGGAAGUGUUCCGGGUGAAAUCGGGAUUUUACCGGAGUACCGGGAAGGUUAUCGGAACCCCCCCGGGAGUUAAAUGGGCCAUGAUGGGCCUUAGUGGAAAAGAGAAGAGGCAGCCCUACAUGGGCUGCGCGCCUCCCCCUUCCCCUAGUCCUAUUAGGACUAGGAGAGGUGGCCGGCCCCCUCCCUCUCUUUUCCCCCUCCACGAAUCCUAUUCCAACUAGGAUUGGGGGGGGGGAUCCUACUCCUAGAGGGAGUAGGACUCUCCUGGCGCGCCACACCUUGGCCGGCCAGCCUCCCCCCUCUAGUCCUUUUAUAUACUGAGGCAGAGGCACCCUAGAACACACAAGUUGAUCCACGUGAUCUAUUCCUUAGCCGUGUGCGGUGCCCCCAGCCACCAUAUUCCUCGAUAAUACUGUAGCGGAGUUUAGGCGAAGCCCUGCUGCUGUAGUGCAUCAAGAUCGUCACCACGCCGUCGUGCUGACGGAACUCUUCCCCGACACUUUGCUGGAUCGGAGUUCGGGGAUCGUCAUCGAGCUGAACGUGUGCUCGAACUCGGAGGUGCCGUAGUUUCGGUACUUGAUCGGUUGGAUCGUGAAGACGUACGACUACUUCCUCUAUGUUGCGUCAACGCUUCCGCAGUCGGUCUGCGUGGGUACGUAGACAACACUCUCCCCUCUCGUUGCUAUGCAUCACAUGAUCUUGCGUGUGCGUAGGAAUUUUUUUGAAAUUACUAUGAAACCCGACAGUGGCAUCCGAGCCUAGGUUAUUUAUGUUGAUGUUAUAUGCACGAGUAGAACACAAGUGAGUUAUGGGCGAUAUAAGUCAUACUGCCUACCAGCAUGUCAUACUUUGGUUCGGCGGCAUUGUUGGACGAGACGACCCGGACCAACAUUACGCGUACGCUUACGCGAGACCGGUUCCCCCGACAUGCUUUGCACAUAAAUGGCUUGCGGGCGACUGUCUCUCCAACUUUAGUUGAACCAAGUAUGGCUACGCCCGGUCCUUGCGAAGGUUAAAACGGAGUCUAUUUGACAAACUAUCGUUGUGGUUUUGAUGCGUAGGUGAGAUUGGUUCUUGCUUAAGCCUGUAGCAGCCACGUAAAACUUGCAACAACAAAGUAGAGGACGUCUAACUUGUUUUUGCAGGGCAUGUUGUGAUGUGAUAUGGUCAAGGCAUGAUGCUGAAUUUUAUUGUAUGAGAUGAUCAUGUUUUGUCACCGAGUUAUCGACAACUGGCAGGAGCCAUAUGGUUGUCGCUUUAUUGUAUGCAAUGCAAUCGCGAUGUAAUGCUUUACUUUAUCACUAAGCGGUAGCGAUAGUCGUGGAAGCAUAAGAUUGGUGAGACGACAACGAUGCUACGAUGGAGAUCAAGGUGUCGCGCCGGUGACGUUGGUAAUCAUGACGGUGCUUCGGAGAUGGAGAUCACAAGCACAAGAUGAUGAUGGCCAUAUCAUAUCACUUAUAUUGAUUGCAUGUGAUGUUUAUCCUUUUAUGCAUCUUAUCUUGCUUUGAUUGAUGGUAGCAUUAUAAGAUGAUCUCUCACUAAAUUAUCAAGAAGUGUUCUCCCUGAGUAUGCACCGUUGCGAAAGUUCUUCGUGCUGAGACACCACGUGAUGAUUGGGUGUGAUAGGUUCUACGUUCAAAUACAAUGGGUGCAAAACAGUUGCACACGCGGAAUACUCAGGUUAUACUUGACGAGCCAAGCAUAUACAGAUAUGGCCUCGGAACACGGAGACCGAAAGGUCAAGCGUGAAUCAUAUAGUAUAUAUGAUCAACAUAACGAUGUUCACCAUUGAAAACUACUCCAUCUCACGUGAUGAUCGGUUAUGGUUUAGUUAAUUUGGAUCACGUAAUCACUUAGAGGAUUAGAGGGAUGUCUAUCUAAGUGGGAGUUCUUAAGUAAUAUGAUUAAUUGAACUUAAAUUUAUCAUGAACUUAGUCCCUGAUAGUAUCUUGCUUGUUUAUGUUGAUUGUAGAUAGAUGGCUCAUGCUGUUGUUCCGUUGAAUUUUAAUGCGUUCCUUGAGAAAGCAAAGUUGAAAGAUGAUGGUAGCAAUUACACGGACUGGGUCCGUAACUUGAGGAUUAUCCUCAUUGUUGCACAGAAGAAUUACGUCCUGGAAGCACCGCUGGGUGCCAGGCCUGCUACAGGAGCAACGCCGGAUGUUAUGAACGUCUGGCAGAGCAAAGCUGAUGACUACUUGAUAGUUCAGGUGCCAUGCUUUACGGCUUAGAAUCGGGACUUCAACGACGUUUUGAACGUCAUAGAGCAUAUGAGAUGUUCCAGGAGUUGAAGUUAAUAUUUCAAGCAAAUGCCCGGAUUGAGAGAUAUGAAGUCUCCAAUAAAUUCUAUAGCUGCAAGAUGGAGGAGAACAGUUCUGUCAGUGAGCAUAUACUCAAAAUGUCUGGAUAUAACAAUCACUUGAUUCAAUUGGGAGUUAAUCUUCCAGAUGAUUGCGUCAUUGACAGAAUUCUUCAAUCACUGCCACCAAGCUACAAGAGCUUCGUGAUGAACUAUAAUAUGCAAGGGAUGAACAAGACUAUUCCCGAGCUCUUCGCGAUGCUAUAAGCUGCGGAGGUAGAAAUCAAGAAGGAGCAUCAAGUGUUGAUGGUCAACAAGACCACUAGUUUCAAGAAAAAGGGCAAAGGAAAGAAGAAGGGGAACUUCAAGAAGAACGGAAAGCCAGUUGCAGCUCAAGAGAAGAAACCCAAGUCUGGACCUAAGCCUGAAACUGAGUGCUUUUAUUGCAAGCAGACUGGCCACUGGAAGCGGAACUGCCCCAAGUAUUUGGCGGAUAAGAACGAUGGCAAGGUGAACAAAGGUAUAUGUGAUAUACAUGUUAUUCAUGUUGAGGAACGUUGCAGAAAAUUAAAAAUUUUCCUACGGUUUCACCAAGAUCCAUCUAUGAGUUCAUCUAAGCAACGAGUCAAGGGAGAGAGUUAGCAUCUACAUACCACUUGUAGAUCGCGUGCGGAAGCUUGCAAGGUGAUGAUGUAGUCGUACUCGACGUGAUUUGAAUCACCGAUGACCAAGUGCUGAACGGACAGCACCUCCGUGUUCAACACACGUACGGGACGGGAGACGUCUCCUCCUUCUUGAUCCAGCAAGGGGGAAGGAGAGGUUGAGGAAGACAGCUCCACCGGCAGCACGACGGCGUGGUGAUGGUGGAGAGGCAGUACUCCGACAGGGCUUCGCCAAGCACACAACGGAGGAGGAGAGGUGUUGGGGAGGGGAGGGCUGCGCCUUGGAGGGUGGUGCGGCUGCCCUCCCCUCACCCCUCUAUUUAUAGGGGGAAGGGAGAAGGGGGCCGGCCCCCUAGAACCCAUCUAGGGGGGGUGCGGCGGCCUAGGGGAGAGGGGAGAGGGUGGCUUGCCCCCCAAGCCAAGGGGGCGCCCCCUCUAGGGUUCCCCCCUCAACCCUAGGCGCAUGGGCCCAAGGGAGGGGGUGCGGCCAGCCCACCAGGGGCUGGCUUCCUGCCCCACGCAGCCCAUGUGGCCCCCCGGGAGGGGUGGCCCCUCCCGGUGGACCCCCGGAACCCUUCCGGUGGCCCCGGCACAAUACCGGUAUGACCCCGAAACUUCCCGGUGUCCGUUUGACAACUUCCCAUAUAUAAAUCUUUACCUCCGGACCCUUACGGAUCUCCUCGUGACGUCCAGGAUCCCAUCCGGGACUCCGAACAACAUUCGGUAGUCACAUACUAGUCUUCCUAAUAACCCUAGCAUCACCGAACCUUAAGUGUGUAGACCCUACGGGUUCGGGAGACAUGCAGACAUGACCGAGACGCUCUCAGUCAAUAACCAACAGCGGGAUCUGGAUACCCAUGAUGGCUCCCACAUGAUCCUCGAUGUUGUCAUCGGAUGAACCACGAUGUCGAGGAUUCGAUCAAACCCUGUAUGCAAUUCCCUUUGUCAAUCGGUACGUUACUUGCCCGAGACUCGAUCGUCGGUAUCCCAAUACCUUGUUCAGUCUCGUUACCGGCAAGUCACUUUACUCGUACCGUAAUGCAUGAUCCCGUGUCCAACACCUUGGUCACAUUGAGCUCAUUAUGAUGAUGCAUUACCGAGUGGGCCCAGAGAUACCUCUCCGUCAUACGGAGUGACAAAUCCCAGUCUCGAUCCGUGUCAACCCAACAGAUACUUUCGGAGAUACCUGUAAUGCACCUUUAUAGUCACCCAGUUACGUUGUGACGUUUGAUACACCCAAGGCACUCUUACGGUAUCCGGGAGUUACACGAUCUCAUGGUCGAAGGAAGAGAUACUUGACACUGGCAAAGCUCUAGCAAAACGAACUACACGAUCUUUUAUGCUAUGCUUAGGAUUGGGUCUUGUCCAUCACAUCAUUCUCCUAAUGAUGUGAUCCCGUUAUCAACGACAUCCAAUGUCCAUAGUCAGGAAACCAUGACUAUCUGUUGAUCACAACGAGCUAGUCAACUAGAGGCUCACCAGGGACAUAUUGUGGUCUAAGUAUUCACACGUGUAUUACGAUUUCCGGAUAAUACAGUUAUAGCAUGAAUAAAAGACAUUUAUCAUGAAAAAUGAAAUAUAAUAAUACUUUUAUUAUUGCCUCUAGGGCAUAUUUCCAACAGCUCCCACUUGCACUAGAGUCACCAAUCUAGUUACAUUGUGAUGAAUCGAACACCCAUAGAGUUCUGGUGUUGAUCAUGUUUUGCACGCGAGAGAGGUUUAGUCAGCGGAUCUGCGACAUUCAGAUCCGUGUGCACUUUGCAAAUCUCUAUGUCUCCAUCUUGAACAUUUUCACGGAUGGAGUUGAAACGACGUUUGAUGUGCCUGGUCUUCUUGUGAAACCUGGGCUCCUUGGCGAGGGCAAUAGCUCCAGUGUUGUCACAGAAGAGUUUGAUCGGCCCCGACGCAUUGGGUAUGACUCCUAGGUCGGUGAUGAACUCCUUCACCCAAAUCGCUUCAUGCACUGCCUCCGAGGCUGCCAUGUACUCCGCUUCACACGUAGAUCCCGCCACGACGCUCUGCUUGCAGCUGCACCAGCUUACUGCUCCACCAUUCAACAUAUACACGUAUCCGGUUUGUGACUUAGAGUCAUCCAGAUCUGAGUCGAAGCUAGCGUCGACGUAACCCUUUACGACGAGCUCUUCGUCUCUUCCAUAAACGAGAAACAUGUCCUUCGUCCUUUUUAGGUACUUCAGGAUAUUCUUGACCGCUGUCCAGUGUUCCUUGCCGGGAUUACUUUGGUAUCUUGCUACCAAACUUACGGCAAGGUUUACAUCGGGUCUGGUACACAGCAUGGCAUACAUAAUAGAUCCUAUGGCUAAAGCAUAGGGGAUGACGCUCAUCUCUUCUUUAUCUUUUGCCGUGGUCGGUGACUGAGCCGAGCUCAAUCUCACACCUUGUAACAUAGGCAAGAACCCCUUCUUGGACUGAUCCAUUUUGAACCUCUUCAAAAUCUUAUCAAGGUAUGUGCUUUGUGAAAGACCUAUGAGGCGUCUCGAUCUAUCUCUAUAGAUCUUGAUGCCUAAUAUAUAAGCAGCUUCUCCAAGGUCCUUCAUUGAAAAACACUUAUUCAAGUAGGCCUUAAUGCUGUCCAGAAAUUCUAUAUUAUUUCCCAUCAAGAGUAUGUCAUCUACAUAUAAUAUGAGAAAUGCUACAGAGCUCCCACUCACUUUCUUGUAAACGCAGGCUUCUCCAUAAGUCUGCAUAAACCCAAACGCUUUGAUCAUCUCAUCAAAGCGAAUGUUCCAACUCCGAGAUGCUUGCACCAGUCCAUAAAUGGAUCGCUGGAGCUUGCAUACUUUGUUAGCGUUCCGAGGAUCGACAAAACCUUCCGGCUGCAUCAUAUACAGUUCUUCCUUAAGAUGCCCGUUAAGGAAUGCCGUUUUGACGUCCAUUUGCCAUAUCUCAUAAUCAUAGUAUGCGGCAAUUGCUAACAUGAUUCGGACGGACUUCAGCUUCGCUACGGGAGAGAAAGUCUCGUCGUAGUCAAUCCCUUGAACUUGUCGAUAACCCUUAGCGACAAGUCGAGCCUUAUAGAUUGUAACAUUACCAUCCGCGUCCGUCUUCUUCUUAAAGAUCCAUUUGUUUUCUAUCGCUCACCGAUCAUCGGGCACGUCUGUCAAAGUCCAUACUUUGUUUUCAUACAUGGAUUCUAUCUCGGAUUUCAUGGCUUCAAGCCAUUUGUUGGAAUCUGGGCCCGCCAUCGCUUCUUCAUAGUUCGAAGGUUCAUUGUUGUCUAACAACAUGAUUUCCAGGACAGGGUUGCCGUACCAUUCUGGUGCGGAACGUGUCCUUGUGGACCUACGAAGUUCAGUAGUAACUUGAUCCGAAGUACCUUGAUCAUCAUCAUUGUUUUCCUCUUCAGUUGGUGUGGGCAUCACAGGAACGGUUUCCUGCGCUGCGCCACUUUCCCGCUCAAGAGGUAGUACUUCAUCGAGUUAUACUUUCCUCCCACUUACUUCUUUCGAGAGAAACUCUUUUUCCAGAAAGCAUCCAUUCUUGGCAACAAAGAUCUUGCCUUCGGAUCUUAAGUAGAAGGUAUACCCGACAGUUUCCUUAGGGUAUCCUAUGAAUACGCAUUUUUCCGACUUGGGUUCGAGCUUUUCAGGUUGAAGUUUCUUGACAUAAGCAUCGCAUCCCCAAACUUUUAGAAACGACAGCUUAGGUUUCUUUCCAAACCAAAAUUCAUACGGUGUCGUCUCAACGGAUUUAGACGGUGCCCUAUUUAAAGUGAAUGUAGCUGUCUCUAGAGCGUAUCCCCAAAAUGAUAGCGGUAAAUCGGUAAGAGACAUCAUAGACCGCACCAUAUCCAAUAGGGUGCGAUUACGACGUUCGGACACACCGUUUCGCUGAGGUGUUCCAGGCGGCGUGAGCUGUGAAACUAUUCCACAUUUCCUUAAGUGUGUACCAAAUUCGUGACUUAAGUAUUCUCCUCCACGAUCUGAUCGUAAGAAUUUUAUCUUUCGGUCACGUUGAUUCUCUACCUCAUUCUGAAAUUCCUUGAACUUUUCAAAGGUCUCAGACUUGUGUUUCAUUAAGUAGACAUACCCAUAUCUACUCAAGUCAUCUGUGAGAGUGAGAACAUAACGAUAUCCUCCGCGAGCCUCAACGCUCAUUGGACCGCACACAUCGGUAUGUAUGAUUUCCAACAAGUUGGUUGCUCGCUCCAUUGUUCCGGAGAACGGAGUCUUGGUCAUUUUGCCCAAAAGGCAUGGUUCGCACGUGUCAAACGAUUCAUAAUCAAGAGACUCUAAAAGUCCAUCGGCAUGGAGCUUCUUCAUGCGCUUGACACCAAUGUGACCAAGGCGGCAGUGCCACAAGUAUGUGGGACUAUCGUUAUCAACUUUAAAUCUUUUGGCAUCUACACUAUGAACAUGUGUUAUAUUACGCUCGAGAUUCAUUAAGAAUAAACCAUUGACCAUCGGAGCAUGACCAUAAAACAUAUCUCUCAUAUAAAUCGAACAACCAUUAUUCUCAGACUUAAAUGAGUAGCCAUCUCGUAUUAAACGAGAUCCAGAUACAAUGUUCAUGCUCAAACUUGGCACUAAAUAACAAUUAUUAAGGUUCAAAACUAAUCCCGUAGGUAAAUGUAGAGGCAGCGUGCCGACGGCGAUCACAUCGACUCUGGAACCAUUCCCGACGCGCAUCGUCACCUCGUCCUUCGCCAGUCUCCGUUUAUUCCGCAGCUCCUGCUGUGAGUUACAAAUAUGAGCAACGGCACCGGUAUCAAAUACCCAGGAGUUACUACGAGUACUGGUAAGGUACACAUCAAUCACAUGUAUAUCAAAUAUACCUUUGGUGUUGCCGGCCUUCUUAUCCGCUAAGUAUUUUGGGGCAGUUCCGCUUCCAGUGACCCUUCCCCUUGCAAUAAAAGCACUCAGUCUCAGGCUUGGGUCCAUUCUUUGACUUCUUCCCGGUAACUGGCUUACCAGGCGCGGCAACAUCUUUGCCGUCCUUCUUGAAGUUCUUCUUACCCUUGCCCUUCUUGAACUUAGUGGUCUUAUUGACCAUCAACACUUGAUGUUCUUUCUUGAUUUCAGCCUCUGCUGACUUCAGCAUCGAGAACACUUCAGGAAUGGUCUUUUCCAUCCCCUGCAUGUUGUAGUUCAUCACAAAGCUCUUGUAGCUUGGUGGGAGCGACUGGAGGAUUCUGUCAAUGACCGCCUCAUCUGGGAGGUUAAUGUUCAGCUGGGUCAUACAGUUGUGCAACCCAGACAUCUUCAGGAUGUGCUCACUGACAGAACUGUUUUCCUCCAUCUUACAACUGUAGAACUUGUCGGAGACAUCAUAUCUCUCGACCCGGGCAUGAGCUUGAAAAACUAGUUUCAGCUCUUCGAACAUCUCAUAUGCUCCGUGGUGCUCAAAACGCUUUUGGAGCCCCGGUUCUAAGCUGUAAAGCAUGCCGCACUGAACGAGGGAGUAAUCAUCAGCACGAGACUGCCAAGCAUUCAUAAUGUCUUGGUUCUCUGGGACGGGAGCGUCACCUAGCGGUCCUUCUAGGACAUAUUGUUUCCUGGCAGCUAUGAGGAUGAUCCUCAGGUUCCGGACCCAGUCCGUAUAGUUGCUGCCAUCAUCUUUCAGCUUGGUUUUCUCUAGGAACGCGUUGAAGUUCAUGUUGACAUUAGCGUUGGCCAUUGACCUACAAGACAUAUUUGCAAAGGUUUUAGACUAAGAUCAUGAUAAUAAAGUUCUAAUCAAAUUAUGAACUCCCACUUAGAUUAGACAUCCCUCUAGUCAUCUAAGUGUUACACGAUCUGAGUCGACUAGCCCGUGUCCGAUCAUCACGUGAGACGGACUAGUCAUCGUCGGUGAACAUUCUCAUGUUGAUCGUAUCUUCCAUAUGACUCGUGUUCGACCUUUCGGUCUCCGUGUUCCGGGGCCAUGUUUGCACAUGCUAGGCUCGUCAAGUUAACCCUAAGUGUUUUCGCUGUGUAAAACUGUCUUACACCCGUUGUAUGUGAACGUAAGAAUCCAUCACACCCGAUCAUCACGUGGUGCUUAGAAGCGACGAACUGUAGCAACGGUGCACAGUUAGGGGAGAACACUUCUUGAAAUUUUAUAAGGGAUCAUCUUAUUUACUACCGUCGUCCUAAGUAAACAAGAUGCAUAAACAUAAUAAACAUCACAUGCAAUUAUAUAGUUGUGACAUGAUAUGGCCAAUAUCAUAUAGCUCCAUUGAUCUUCAUCUUCGGGACUCCAUGAUCAUUUUGUCACCGGCUUGACACCAUGAUCUCCAUCAUCGUGUCUUCAUGAAGUUGUCACGCCAACGACUACUUCUACUUCUAUGACUAACGUUUAGCAAUAAAGUAAAGUAGUUUACAUGGCGUUAUUCAAUGACACGCAGGUCAUACAAAAAAUAAAGACAACUCCUAUGGCUCCUGCCGGUUGUCAUACUCAUCGACAUGCAAGUCGUGAAUCCUAUUACAAAGAACAUGAUCUCAUACAUCACAAUUCAUCAUUCAUCACAACUUCUGGCCAUAUCACAUCACAUGAUCAAUCGCUGCAAAAACAAGUUAGACGUCCUCUAAUUGUUGUUGCAUCUUUUACGUGGCUGCAAUUGGGUUCUAGCAAGAACGUUUUCUUACCUACGAAUCACCACAACGUGAUUUUUGUCAACUUCUAUUUACCCUUCAUAAGGGCCCUGUUCAUCGAUUCCGCUCCAACUAAAGUGGGAGAGACAGACACCCGCCAGCCACCUUAUGCAACUAGUGCAUGUCAGUCGGUGGAACCGGUCUCACGUAAGCGUACGUGUAAGGUUGGUCCGGGCCGCUUCAUCCCACAAUACCGUUGAGCAAGAAAAGACUAGUAGAGGCAAGUAAGAUGACAAAAUCCACGCCCACAACAAAAUUGUGUUCUACUCGUGCAAAGAGAACUACGCAUAGACCUAGCUCAUGAUGCCACUGUUGAGGAACGUUGCAGAAAAUUAAAAUUUUUCCUACGGUUUCACCAAGAUCCAUCUAUGAGUUCAUCUAAGCAACGAGUCAAGGGAGAGAGUUAGCAUCUACAUACCACUUGUAGAUCGCGUGCGGAAGCUUGCAAGGUGAUGAUGUAGUCGUACUCGACGUGAUUCGAAUCACCGAUGACCAAGUGCUGAACGGACAGCACCUCCGCGUUGAACACACGUACGGGACGGGAGACGUCUCCUCCUUCUUGAUCCAGCAAGGGGGAAGGAGAGGUUGAGGAAGACAGCUCCACCGGCAGCACGACGGCGUGGUGAUGGUGGAGAGGCAGUACUCCGACAGGGCUUCGCCAAGCACACAACGGAGGAGGAGAGGUGUUGGGGAGGGGAGGGUUGCGCCUUGGAGGGUGGUGCGGCUGCCCUCCCCUCACCCCUCUAUUUAUAGGGGGAAGGGAGAAGGGGGCCGGCCCCCUAGAACCCAUCUAGGGGGGGUGCGGCGGCCUAGGGGAGAGGGGAGAGGGUGGCUUGCCCCCCAAGCCAAGGGGGCGCCCCCUCUAGGGUUCCCCCCUCAACCCUAGGCGCAUGGGCCCAAGGGAGGGGGUGCGGCCAGCCCACCAGGGGCUGGCUCCCUGCCCCACGCAGCCCAUGUGGCCCCCCGGGAGGGGUGGCCCCUCCCGGUAGACCCCCGGAACCCUUCCGGUGGCCCCGGUACAAUACCGGUAUGACCCUGAAACUUCCCGGUGUCCGUUUGACAACUUCCCAUAUAUAAAUCUUUACCUCCAGACCCUUCCGGAUCUCCUCGUGACGUCCAAGAUCCCAUCCGGGACUCCGAACAACAUUUGGUAGUCACAUACUAGUCUUCCUAAUAACCCUAGCGUCACCAAACCUUAAGUGUGUAGACCCUACGGGUUCGGGAGACAUGCAGACAUGACCGAGACGCUCUCAGUCAAUAACCAACAGAGGGAUCUGGAUACCCAUGAUGGCUCCCACAUGCUCCUCGAUGUUGUCAUCGGAUGAACCACGAUGUCGAGGAUUCGAUCAAACCCUGUAUGCAAUUCCCUUUGUCAAUCGGUACGUUACUUGCCCGAGACUCGAUCGUCGGUAUCCCAAUACCUUGUUCAGUCUCAUUACCGGCAAGUCACUUUACUCGUACCGUAAUGCAUGAUCCCGUGUCCAACACCUUGGUCACAUUGAGCUCAUUAUGAUGAUGCAUUACCGAGUGGGCCCAGAGAUACCUCUCCGUCAUACGGAGUGACAAAUCCCAGUCUCGAUCCGUGUCAACCCAACAGAUACUUUCGGAGAUACCUGUAAUGCACCUUUAUAGUCACCCAGUUACGUUGUGACGUUUGAUACACCCAAGGCACUCUUACGGUAUCCGGGAGUUACACGAUCUCAUGGUCGAAGGAAGAGAUACUUGACACUGGCAAAGCUCUAGCAAAACGAACUACACGAUCUUUUAUGCUAUGCUUAGGAUUGGGUCUUGUCCAUCACAUCAUUCUCCUAAUGAUGUGAUCCCGUUAUCAACGACAUCCAAUGUCCAUAGUCAGGAAACCAUGACUAUCUGUUGAUCACAACGAGCUAGUCAACUAGAGGCUCACCAGAGACAUAUUGUGGUCUAAGUAUUCACAUGUGUAUUACGAUUUCCGGAUAAUACAUUUAUAGCAUGAAUAAAAGACAUUUAUCAUGAACAAUGAAAUAUAAUAAUACUUUUAUUAUUGCCUCUAGGGCAUAUUUCCAACAAUUCAUGUGUACCUUACUAAUGCUCGCAGUAGCACCUGGGUAUUUGAUACUGGUUCUGUUGCUAAUAUUUGCAACUCGAAACAGGGACUACGGAUUAAGCGAAGAUUGGUUAAGGACGAGGUGACAAUGCGCGUGGGAAAUUGUUCCAAAGUCGAUGUGAUCGCGGUCGGCACGCUACCUCUACAUCUACCUUCGGGAUUAGUAUUAGACCUAAAUAAUUGUUAUUUGGUGCCAGCGUUGAGCAUGAACAUCAUAUCUGGAUCUUGUUUAAUGCGAGAUGGUUAUUCAUUUAAAUCAGAGAAUAAUGGUUGUUCUAUUUAUAUGAGUAAUAUAUUUUAUGGUCAUGCACCCUUGAAGAGUGGUCUAUUCUUAUUGAAUCUCGAUAGUAGUAAUACACAUAUUCAUAAUGUUGAAGCCAAAAGAUGCAGAGUUGAUAAUGAUAGUGCAACUUAUUUGUGGCACUGCCGUUUAGGCCAUAUCGGUGUAAAGCGCAUGAAGAAACUCCAUACUGAUGGACUUUUGGAACCACUUGAUUAUGAAUCACUUGGUACUUGCGAACCGUGCCUCAUGGGCAAGAUGAUCAAAACACCGUUCUCCGGUACUAUGGAGAGAGCAACAGAUUUGUUGGAAAUCAUACAUACAGAUGUAUGUGGUCCGAUGAAUAUUGAGGCCCGUGGCGGAUAUCGUUAUUUUCUCACCUUCACAGAUGAUUUAAGCAUAUAUGGGUAUAUCUACUUAAUGAAACAUAAGUCUGAAACAUUUGAAAAGUUCAAAGAAUUUCAGAGUGAAGUUGAAAAUCAUCGUAACAAGAAAAUAAAGUUUCUACGAUCUGAUCGUGGAGGAGAAUAUUUGAGUUACGAGUUUGGUGUACAUUUGAAAAAUUGUGGAAUAGUUUCGCAACUCACGCCACCCGGAACACCUCAGCGUAAUGGUGUGUCCGAACGUCGUAAUCGUACUUUACUGGAUAUGGUGCGGUCUAUGAUGUCUCUUACUGAUUUACCGCUAUCAUUUUGGGGAUACGCUCUAGAGACGGCCGCAUUCACGUUAAAUAGGGCACCAUCAAAAUCCGUUGAGACGACGCCUUAUGAACUGUGGUUUGGCAAGAAACCAAAGUUGUUGUUUCUGAAAGUUUGGGGCUGCGAUGCUUAUGUGAAAAAGCUUCAACCUGAUAAGCUUGAACCCAAGUCGGAGAAAUGUGUCUUCAUAGGAUAUCCAAAGGAAACUAUUGGAUACACCUUCUAUCACAGAUCCGAAGGCAAGACUUUUGUUGCUAAAUUCGGAAACUUUCUGGAGAAGGAGUUUCUCUCGAAAGAAGUGAGUGGGAGGAAAGUAGAACUUGACGAGGUAACUGUACCUGCUCCCUUACUGGAAAGUAGUACAUCACAGAAAACUGUUUUAGUGACACCUACACCAGUUAGUGAGGAAGCUAAUGAUAAUGAUCAUGAAACUUCAGAUCAAGAUACUACUGAACCUCGUAGAUCAACCAGAGUGAUAUCCGCACCAGAGUGAUACGGUAAUCCUGUUCUGGAAGUCAUGCUACUAGAUCAUGAUGAACCUACGAACUAUGAAGAAGCGAUGGUGAGCCCAGAUUCCGCAAAAUGGCUUGAAGCCAUGAAAUCUGAGAUGGGAUCCAUGUAUGAGAACAAAGUAUGGACUUUGGUUGACUUGCCCAAUGAUCGGCAAGCGAUUGAGAAUAAAUGGAUCUUCAAGAAGAAGACUGAUGCUGACGGUAAUAUUACUGUCUACAAAGCUCGACUUGUCGCAAAAGAUUUUCGGCAAGUUCAAGGGAUUGACUACGAUGAGACCUUCUCACCCGUAGCGAUGCUUAAGUCUGUCCGAAUCAUGUUAGCAAUUGCCGCAUUUUAUGAUUAUGAAAUUUGGCAGAUGGAUGUCAAAACUGCAUUCCUGAAUGGAUUUCUGGAAGAAGAGUUGUAUAUGAUGCAACCAGAAGGUUUUGUCGAUCCAAAGGGAGCUAACAAAGUGUGCAAGCUCCAGCGAUCCAUUUAUGGACUGGUGCAAGCCUCUCGGAGUUGGAAUAAACGUUUUGAUAGUGUGAUCAAAGCAUUUGGUUUUAUACAGACUUUUGGAGAAGCCUGUAUUUACAAGAAAGUGAGUGGGAGCUCUGUAGCAUUUCUGAUAUUAUAUGUGGAUGACAUAUUGCUGAUUGGAAAUGAUAUAGAAUUUCUGGAUAGCAUAAAGGGAUACUUGAAUAAGAGUUUUUCAAUGAAAGACCUCGGUGAAGCUGCUUACAUAUUGGGCAUUAAAAUCUAUAGAGAUAGAUCAAAACGCUUAAUUGGACUUUCACAAACAACAUACCUUGACAAAAUUUUGAAGAAGUUCAAAAUGGAUCAAGCAAAGAAAGGAUUCUUGCCUAUGUUACAAGGUGUGAAAUUGAGUAAGACUCAAUGCCCGACCACUGCAGAAGAUAGAGAGAAUAUGAAAGAUGUUCCCUAUGCAUCAGCAAUAGGAUCUAUCAUGUAUGCAAUGCUGUGUACCAGACCUGAUGUGUGCCUUGCUAUAAGUCUAGCAGGGAGGUACCAAAGUAAUCCAGGAGUGGAUCACUGGACAACGGUCAAGAACAUCCUGAAAUACCUGAAAAGGACUAAGGAUAUGCUUCUUGUAUAUGGAGGUGACAAAGAGCUCGUCAUAAAUGGUUACGUUGAUGCAAGCUUUGACUGAUCCGAACGAUUCUAAAUCGCAAACCGGAUACAUGUUUACAUUAAACGGUGGAGCUGUCAGUUGGUGCAGUUCUAAACAAAGCGUCGUAGCGGGAUCUACAUGUGAAGCGGAGUACAUAGCUGCUUCGGAAGCAGCAAAUGAAGGAGUCUGGAUGAAGGAGUUCAUAUCUGAUCUAGGUGUCAUACCUAGUGCAUCGGGUCCAAUGAAAAUCUUUUGUGACAAUACUGGUGCAAUCGCCUUGGCAAAGGAAUCCAGAUUUCACAAAAGAACCAAGCACAUCAAGAGACGCUUCAAUUCCACCCGGGAUCUAGUCCAGGUGGGAGACAUAGAGAUUUGCAAGAUACAUACAGAUCUGAAUGUUGCAGACCCGUUGACUAAGCCUCUUCCACGAGCAAAACAUGCUCAGCAGCAAGGCUCCAUGGGUGUUAGAAUCAUUGCUGUGUAAUCUAGAUUAUUGACUCUAGUGCAAGUGGGAGACUGAAGGAAAUAUGCCCUAGAGGCAAUAAUAAAGUUAUUAUUUAUUUCCUUAUAAUCAUGAUAAAUGUUUAUUAUUCAUGCUAGAAUUGUAUUAACCGGAAACAUAAUACAUGUGUGAAUACAUAGACAAACUUAGUGUCACUAGUAUGCCUCUACUUGACUAGCUCGUUAAUCAAAGAUGGUUAUGUUUCCUAACCAUGAACAAAGUGUUGUUAUUUGAUUAACGGGAUCACAUCAUUAAGAGAAUGAUCUGAUUGACAUGACCCAUUCCAUUAGCUUAGCACCCGAUCGUUUAGUAUGUUGCUAUUGCUUUCUUCAUGACUUAUACAUGUUCCUAUAACUAUGAGAUUAUGCAACUCCCGUUUGCCGGAGGAACACUUUGGGUGCUACCAAACGUCACAACAUAACUGGGUGAUUAUAAAGGAGCAUUACAGGUGUCUCCAAAGGUAGAUGUUGGGUUGGCGUAUUUUGAGAUUAGGAUUUGUCACUCCGAUUGUCGGAGAGGUAUCUCUGGGCCCUCUCGGUAAUGCACAUCACAUAAGCCUUACAAGCAUUGCAACUAAUGAGGUAGUUGCGAGAUGAUGUAUUAUGGAACAAGUAAAGAGACUUGCCGGUAACGAGAUUGAACUAGGUAUUGGAAUACCGACGAUCGAAUCUCGGGCAAGUAACAUACCGAUGACAAAGGAAACAACGUAUGUUGUUAUGCGGUCUGACCGAUAAAGAUCUUCGUAGAAUAUGUAGGAGCCAAUAUGGGCAUCCAGGUCCCGCUAUUGGUUAUUGACCGGAGACGUGUCUCGGUCAUGUCUACAUUGUUCUCGAACCCGUAGGGUCCGCACGCUUAAGGUUACGAUGACAGUUAUAUUAUGAGUUUAUGCAUUUUGAUGUACCGAAGGUUGUUCGGAGUCCCGGGUGUGAUCACGGACAUGACGAGGAGUCCCGAAAUGGUCGAGACAUAAAGAUUGAUAUAUUGGAAGCCUAUGUUUGGAUGUCGGAAGUGUUCCGGGUGAAAUCGGGAUUUUACCGGAGUACCGGGAAGGUUACCGGAACCCCCCCGGGAGUUAAAUGGGCCAUGAUGGGCCUUAGUGGAAAAGAGAAGAGGCAGCCCUACAUGGGCUGCGCGCCUCCCCCUUCCCCUAGUCCUAUUAGGACUAGGAGAGGUGGCCGGCCCCCUCCCUCUCUUUUCCCCCUCCACGAAUCCUAUUCCAACUAGGAUUGGGGGGGGGGGGAUCCUACUCCCAGAGGGAGUAGGACUCUCCUAGCGCGCCACACCUUGGCCGGCCAGCCUCCCCCCUCUAGUCCUUUAUAUACUGAGGCAGAGGCACCCUAGAACACACAAGUUGAUCCACGUGAUCUAUUCCUUAGCCGUGUGCGGUGCCCCCAGCCACCAUAUUCCUCGAUAAUACUAUAGCGGAGUUUAGGCGAAGCCCUGCUGCUGUAGUGCAUCAAGAUCGUCACCACGCCGUCGUGCUGAUGGAACUCUUCCCCGACACUUUGCUGGAUCGGAGUCCGGGGAUCGUCAUCGAGCUGAACGUGUGCUCAAACUCGGAGGUGCCGUAGUUUCGGUACUUGAUCGGUUGGAUCGUGAAGACGUACGACUACUUCCUCUAUGUUGCGUCAACGCUUCCGCAGUCGGUCUGCGUUGGUACGUAGAGAACACUCUCCCCUCUCGUUGCUAUGCAUCACAUGAUCUUGCGUGUGCGUAGGAAAUUUUUUGAAAUUACUACGAAACCCAACAAGAGCAACCUUUUUUGACAAAAAGGUAGAGCAGAGAGCUGCAUUUCAUUGAUCAAAAGUUUGUGAAUUCCUCAUUUCUUCUCCUUUUUUCAACAUAUUUAAAUGUUGGUCACUUCUUCUCUCUUUUCUCAACAUUUAAACAACUUUGACCAACAUUUAAACUAGGUGAAUUUCUCAUACAAUUUCAAGAUUACAAAUUCCUCCAUAAUUCAUGCCUUUCCAUACAUUUUCAACAUUACAACCAGUGCGAUUACCAUACUUACAAAUGCCCAAAAGUAUUUGCAAAUGGGUAUUGGUAGUGCUUGAUCUUCAAGCUUCCUAACCUUCUUCUUCAACAUCCUAAGCUCAACAGCUAGCUCUCUGUCAGUGCGUGCUUCGCCCUCCAUCUCUUCUUCUAGAGCUCGUGUUGCGGCCACUGCCGUUCGUGGCAGCAUGCACAACCAUUCUUCAUGAUCUUCUUGCAGUUCAUUCAUCAGAGUCUUGGCCAGAGCAUCGACCUAAAGAAAGAAGCAUGUCACCUGCAUGAACACCAAACAGAUCAACCCAUUGCUCAAAGAUCCCGACCACGAAAAUGGUGCAAUUUCCCCGAUUCUUACCCCAUUCUCGCUGCACACGUAGAACGGACGAUUUUGGUUCCUCGGUGUGUGAGAAACCCUCCGAACAACGCCCGCCCAACACCGCGGACAGACGAAGACAUGCAUGUCCACACGCGCCCGGCUCUACAUCCGUGAGGUGGCGUAGGAGCUUGAGGAAGACAUGGAGCUCGGAGCCGAAGGGGAUCUCAACGCCGCCGCGCCCUCCACAACUAGCUUCCCACCGCCGUGCUCUCUCUCGCCGUGGUCACCGUCGUGCUCUCUGUCACCGUGGUCACCGCCGCUGUGUGUCGCCCGCUUAUAUAGCACACACCCGCAACGGCUCUCUGCUGGGUCCCACAAGCCAUGCGUGCAACAGUCUGAAUAGAAUUGGCCAUCUCUGCCGCCUGGUCCCACCCGUAAGGGCUGAGUCAAAACGUUGACCUGACGGAGACAGCAGAGUUCACGGAACGAGUUGGUGCGCACGGACUAGGGGCAAAACUGAGCACAAUUCGCAUCUGAGGGCAAAACUGAGCACACGGACACCACUGAGGGCAAACGGAUAAUUAAUCCUUGCAAGAUCCUCCUCCUUUUCAAUAUCAAAUUCUUCUUCGAAAGAAUCAUAUGACGAACUCAUCAACAAUGUUCAAUUUGACCUAGGCUAUAAAGCUACAAACAACAUGCACCAAAUUCAUGUAAAAAAUGUCCAGUUUAACGCAAAUUUUCCAGCGCGGCGCUUAUAUAGCACGGUUGUUGAAGAUGCUCUUAUAAUCGCAAGUGCUUACAAAUAUGCACAUUACACCCUUUUUGCAGAAACUUUUUCUUUUUUGCAGUGGGAUUAGAAAGAUCUAUUCGACGAAACAUAUUAUCUCGACAGUCAGCCAAGAAGCCACUAAACAGAAAUCUAGGAGGUUCGAUCUGUCGGUCACAUUCAAUGUGCAAGAAACUUAGCACAAUGAUGAGGUGAAACUGGACCGCGGAAAAUUUGCACUCACAUUCUAGUUAAACUAGGGAACACCCCGCGCAUUGAUGUGGGAAUUGGUUGAUAACAUCAAGACCAAAAUUAAACAUACAUAUGACUUAAUAUAUUUUAUUAUGCAUAGUUGUAAUUUUUUGUUGAAUAUAAAGUAGAAUAAUACAAUGGAAAACAUUUCCCCAUGGUUGAAUGUUGUGUUGUGGUGGAUCUUUUCCCAUGCAUUUUUUAAAAUGUAACAAACAUUUUUCUGAAUGUACGAAACAAUUUAUUUAAAUUACGCAAUGUUUUUUAACAUUGUAUAAACAGUUUUUUUAGAUUUCAUACACAUAUUAUUUUUAAAUGCGUGACCUUUUUUAAAUGUCAAGAACAUACUAAUUCAUACAUAGGAUUAAUAUUCUUUAUACACGUUUAACAUUUUCAAAAUCAUGAUUAAUAUUUUUAAAAUUUUACAUGAAAUGUUUUUGUAAUAUAUAUUUAGAAUGUUUCAAAAUAUGAACAAUAGUUAAAGUAUGAAGAGAAAACAAGAAUAUAGUUUUUGAGUGAAACGAAAAUAUAAAUGUGAAGGAAAAACAUGGGUGACGCCAACAUGAAGCGACCACGUGGUUACUGGGCCGGCCCAACAACGGAACCCUGCAUGCGACCCUGUGUACUAGAGUUGUUGCGGGCGGCACAUAGCGCCUGUACCUCUGAGUCUUAAUUUGGUUCGAGACACCUGUUAGUUUGGACUGUUCAGAUGACUCUAAGAGCAUCUCCAACAGGUGCGGUAAAAGGCGCGCCCGCGCGGUAAAAUUUGGUUUUAGCGUGCGCCGGCUGGUUCCACGCGCUCCAGCGGCGGCGGAAACUUACCGCGCGCGGGACAAAGCGGCACGCGGCGUGGUAGAUUUAGCGCGCCGCUUCGCGCGCGCCUAUAAAAUGACGCGCUCUCCACGCGCACAGACACAUCCACGCGCCCUCCCCUCGCAACCUCGCCGCUUUCCGCGCCACCAUGCUGCCGCGCCGCCGGGGUUCUUCGGACUACCGCGGCGUCCGCGAGCGCCCCAACGGCUGGUACUCCGCCGAGAUCCGGUCCGGCGACGUCCGGCUCAGCCUCUGGGUCGUUCCGGAGCGCGUACGAGGCGGCCCGCGCGUACGACGCGGCGGCGUGGCGCUCGGAUAGGCCCCGGACGCAGAUGAACUUCCGGGACGUCUUCACGCGCGAGCAGGCGCAGCGCGUCGCCCCUCCGUCGCGUCUCAUCACCGACAUGGACCGUGCCGACCACGCUCGGCGCUGCCGCCGCCUCCUCAUCGCCGAGGAGGACGAGCGAGCCAUGGUGGAGUGGCGCCGUCGCCACCCGGAGGACGUCGCCGACGAGCGUGCCUACUGUGCGGAGAGGACGGCAAGACGCCGCGCGGAGCGGGCGGACCGGCGUCGGCGGAAGGCAUUGGCGAAUGCGCAGUGCGAUAUCGUUGAAGCAGGUGGGAGGUCGAUCUUCACGCCAGACGAUGAACGUUGGGACGACAUAUGGCUCGAUACCUCGGACAACACCGACGAGGAUGUUGAUGAUGGUAGCGACUUAGAGUAGUUUAUAUCUAUAUAUGCCGUAGUAGUUUCUAUCUAGUUGCACCGUAGUUCUAUCUAUCUAUGCUUUUGAACUAUCUAUCUAGUUACACCGAUGUAAAAUACCUUUGUAUCGUUUUUUAUUAUCUUAAUAUUUAUCUAUAUUUCCGAAAAUGUUGUAAAAAUGAGCGCGCGUGCUGCAUUUUUACGUGCUGCUGAAGCGCCGCGCGCCGCUCCAAACCAGAUGAUAGGCGCGCGGUAAAGUUGUUUUUUGCAUGUUGGAGAUGCUCUAACCACAUACCCUCGCUGGUAACUACGCUCUGCUGGUGAAUACUCUCGUCCAGAGAUUCCGACUCUCCAAUGUCUUCGUAGAAGGUUGAAGGUGAGCGGAAUCAACAUCCAGUAUGCCGGAACCUUAGAGGCGAUGAAAGUCCCUUGAUCCUGACCCACACUUACGACCUACCUCUAGCUACCUCGACCUCCGGGACAGAUCACUCUCGAAGUGACUAUCGGCGACACCCAAAAUCUAAUGGACUUAAACCAUCACAUUUGAGGUCGUUGACUUCGAACGCAUCUAUGUUCUUUUGCUUUUUUUCAAUAAAAGGUGGAUUUUAUUAACUUAAAAUGAAGCUUCAAGAGGAUACAAACACGAUGAGCAUCCGGUCUCUGUAUAGUUAGGAUGCACAUAAUCACUAUAUUCGUCUGCUUAUCUACUCGUUUCACCGAACCUUUGAAUGUGUAAUGCACAACUUUUCUGAAUAAUUUUUCAGUCUAACAUGAUAAAUAUUUCAAUUUCAGCAAGACAUUCUUACCAUCUAUUUCAAGGCUGAUCAACGGAACACUCCUCUAAAUACAUCUUUCAUUUAUAUCUGUAACAAAUGCUCUACAAAUCUGGAGUUUCCACCAAUAAAAAUACUAGUACUAGUGCAGCUUCCUUCUGAAGAAAGUUGCAGUUACUACUGUGCUACCGGCCUUGCAGAACUGUCAUGGCCAUGGUGUUCCUGGUGUUCUCGAGAUCGCUUCUCUGGCUCUUGUCUCCCAUCAUUUCGAUAAAAGCAGGCUGCACCGGCGUCGGGAGGGACAGCGACGACGCGCUUCCAUUUUCCAAAAUGGACACGACGGACGACAUGAGCGGCCUCCGGCUUGGGUCGUCCUCGACGCACAGGAGCCCCACGUGGAUGCAGAGCAAUGCCUCAUCCUGUGAACAGCUCCCUGCCAUGGAUGGAUCCACCAGCUUACCUGCCUUCCCUUCUCUCCACAGGCUCCAUGCCUACAUAAAAAUAAUAAUAAAAGAAUUUAUUAAUACCUGUCGAGACAAUCCCCACCCCAUGUUAAUCGGGGGAUUUUAAUAUCCUUCAAUAUCAGUAGGGAAAAAACAAUGUCCGGUUUGAUACAAGGUGGCCUUUCCUCUUUAAUGAUGUUAUCGACAGUCUGGAUCUGAGGGAGAUCACGAUGUCUGGUCGUCAGUAUACCUAGACCAAUAAUCGAUCCAUGCCAAUCUUUGAAAAACUUGACCGGGUGCUAGUUACCACCGACUGGGAAUAUAAAUAUCCCCUAGCCUCGGUUCGGGCAUUAGAAAGAAUUGAGGCCUUAUCGGAUCACCCUCCAUUGCUCAUCGAUUUUGGACAACCAAUCCCAAGUUCUAACCGUCACCAAUUUAAAUUUGAAUUGGGAUGGCUCACUAGAGAGGGAUUUCAUGACCUGGUUAAGAAAGUGUGGGCGCGUCUGCCUCGCGGUAACACACCCAUUCAACGAUGGAAUAAUCGAAUUCGCGCAUUGCGUCGAUUGCUUCGUGGAUGAGCCAAGCAUACUGCUGGCAUCUACAAAAAAGAAAAACUGCGACUAUCUACCUUAAUUGAUUCCCUUGAUAAAAUAGCGGAGGUGAGGCCUCUGUCCGCAGUUGAGAUUGAGCAAAAAAGCAAUCUAAAAGAGCAGAUAGCCCGCCUACUACGCGAGGAAUAGAUGAAAUGGUACCAACGUUGCAAGGCGGAUUCGCUUGUGCAAGAUGAUGAUAAUACGAAAUACUUUCAAAUGCUUGCCAAUGGCAGACAUAGAAAAGAAACGCAUAUUCACCCUUGACUAGGAGGAAGGCCGAAUUGAGGAGGACGUACCACUUAGAACUUUUAGUACUAAGUAUUAUAAAGAGCUUUUUGGACCUUCGGCUUAAUCAAAUUUUCAGCUGGAUGAAUCCAUUACUCAUGACAUUCCUCAAGUUACGGAAGCGGAAAAUGAAUUCCUAACCUCCCCGUUCUCUGAGGAGGAAAUUCGAACCGCGGUGUUUCAAAUGGAACACAACAAGGCUUUGGGUCCGGAUGGCUUUCCCGCAGAGUUCUAUCAAUAUUUUUGGGACGUCAUUAAGGCAGUCUUGGUUCAGUUGUUUAACCAACUGCAUGCUGAAGACCUUGACAUUUCUCGUUUAAACUUUGGGGAAAUUAUCCUAUUGCCUAAGAUUAAGGAGGCUAGUAUCGACCGAUUUGCCUUCUAAAUGUAAGUUUUAAAAUCUUUACGAAGGUCUAAUCGGUUGAACGGGGUGGCUGGCCAUGUCGUAAAACCCACUCAGACAGCAUUUAUUCAAGGUCGCAACAUAUUAGAUGGAGUGGUCGUCUUGCACGAAACUGUACAUGAGCUUCACCCAAAAAAAUUAAAUGGUGUCAUUCUUAAAAUAGAUUUUGAAAUGGCCUACGAUAAGGUUAAGUGGCCCUUUCUGUUGCAAACUAUGCGCAUGAAGGGGUUUUCACAAAAAUGAUGUCGUUGGGUAGAGAGCUUUGUCUCUGGAGGCAGUGUGGCCAUAAAAGUUAAUGAUGACGUUGGCAACUAUUUUCAGACAAGGAAGGGGCUUCACCAAGGGGACCCCGCUUCUCCUAUUUUGUUUAACAUUGUGGCCGACAUGCUAGCUACCCUUGUUGAGCAGACUAAGCUGUACGGUCAAAUUAGUGGUGUCAUUCCACACUUGGUAGAAGAUGGUCUAUCUAUUCUACAAUAUGCGGAUGACACUAUUCUAUUCAUGGAUCAUGAUCUAGAUAAGGCAAGAAAUCUCAAGUUGCUCUUAUGUGCUUUUGAGAAACUUUCUGGUCUCAAAAUUAAUUUUCAUAAGAGCGAACUUUUUUGCUUUGGCGAUACUGCAGAAUCAGCACCUGAGUAUGCUGACAUUUUUGGAUGCCGGCUCGGGCAGUUUCCGAUUCGAUAUCUAGGUAUUCCCAUACACCAUCGGUGCUUAACUGUAGCUGAGUGGAAGCAUGUGGAAGAGAGACUUGAGAAACACUUAGCUAGUUGGAAGGCCAAGCUCUUGUCUUACGGGGGACGAUUGAUCUUGAUCAAUUCAGUUCUAAGCAACAUGGUUUUAUAUAUGUUGUCAUUCUUCCACUUACCGAAAGGGGUUCUCCAGCGACUAGACUACUUUAGAUCCAGAUUUCUUUGGCAAUGCGAUAACGAAUCCAAGAAAUAUCGACUGACUAGGUGGAGCGUAUUAUGCAGACCUAAAAGUCAAGCGGGGUUGGGAAUCCAAGACCUUGAGAUUAAAAACAUUGCUCUUCUCAGCGAGUGGGUUUACAAACUACUCACUGAGAAUAGAGUAUGGAAGAAAAUCAUUCGCAACAAAUAUGCAGGAUCCAAUGCCAUUUCUUAAGUUCAUUGGAAACCUGGGGAUUCGCAUUUCUGAAGUGGUGUGAUGAAGGCCAAGGAAUUCUUUUUCCAAUUUGAGACCUUCUCAGUUAGGGAUGGUUCUCAGGUUCGAUUCAGGGAAGAUAUCUGGCUAGGGAAUAACCCACUAAUGGUGCAAUAUCCGAGCUUGUAUAGGAUUGUUAGACAUAAAUUCGUCACAAUCAAACAAGUCAAUGACAAGAAAAUCCUGAUAUUUCUUUCCGUAUGGAUCUUUUUGGCCCUCGCCUGGCAGCAUGGAAUGAAUUACUCACUCGCCUGGAGGACAUUAAACUGUCAGGUGAGCCGGACAUUUUUCGAUCAAACUUGCAUUAGAAUGGUAAAUUUUCAGUCAAAUCCAUGUAUAAUGCAAUGGUUCAUUGUGAUGUUUCAGUUGAUAACAGGAAAUUGUGGAAGCUCAAAAUCUCUCUAAGAGUGAAGAUUUUCCUCUGGUUUCUUAAUAGAGGAGUCAUCCUAACUAGACAUAAGCUGGCACGACGAAACUGACAUGGUUCAAAGACAUGUGUCUUUCGCCAACAUGAUGAGUCUAUUAAACACUUAUUUUUUGAGUGCAAGUUCGCUCGGGCAGUUUGGGCCAUAGUUCAAGUAGCUUCGAAUCUAUACAAACCACGUAGUGCACGGAACAUGUUCGGCAACUGGUUGCGGGGUAUUGAUAAACAUUUUUCUACACAUAUUCUUGUGGAAGCGGCGGCCUUAUGCUGGGCACCAUGGCUUACCAGGAAUGAUGUGAUUUUUAAUAACAAAUGUGUCUCAUCUCCUAUGCUGGUUAUUCAUGUGUGUACACGAUGACUCCGUACUUGGUCUAUCCUGCAGAGGCCGGAGGACAGAGACCUUUUUAUAAUGGCGUCUACACGGCUGGAGCGUACGGCCAGGGAGGUUUUCUAUCCCCAUGGAUGGCGGUGUGACCUACGGAUAGGAUCUGCCACUCCUUAGGCUAGACAUGUUUUUUUAUUGGCAUUGUAUCAAAUUAUUUUUUGCUUUUAGGGUACUCUCGACUUUUUUUGGCUGUGUGCAUCUAGCUAUGCAGAGGCCGGACUUUCUUUCGACGUGAUUAUAUCACCUCGAUAUAUCUAUUCAAUGAAAUGUCCUUUAUCGAAAAAAAUUGUAUGUGUGUUUUAAAGAUGAAUAUGCAUUUAGACAUGACAUGGACUGAAAUGAAAAAGGCAUUAGCAGUUUUAGUUCAGGUACUUACAUAGACUAUGAGGCUGGGGAACUCCAUGAUGCCCUCGGUUGCGCUUACCCUGAUGCCGCUCACGAUCUCCAGCAGCAGCACACCGAAGCUGUACACGUCGGACUUGACCGAGAAGACGCCCUCCGUCGAGUACUCUGGAGCAAUGUAGCCACUGUCCACACAUAGUAUUUGUUUCGUCAGAAGAGGUGCCACAUUUUUCUGUUAAUGCCCACUGUAUUUUUCUUAUCAUUUUCUGUAAAUUCAGUCAAGUGUUGAGAUAACUCACUAUGUUCCCACGAUUUUCCGGGUGUUGGCUUUCACCUGGUUGUCACCAAAGAUCUUUGCCAUGCCAAAGUCGGCGAUCUUGGGUCUCAUCUCUGCAUCCAGCAGCACGUUGCUGGCCUUGAGGUCCCUGUGUAUCACCGUCAGCCUGGAGUCCUGGUGAAGGUAGAGCAACCCCCUCGCCACGCCCUUGAUGAUCCCCAGCCGUGUCGGCCAGUCCAGCACCAGUUUUCUCUCGCUGUCUGCAACAUCUAAACUUCAGCAACCAUGGCAAGAAACCUUCAGUUAUAUACUUGAGUUCUCUGAACAUUGUAUGUACCGAAGAGGAUGGCGUCGAGGCCCUUGUUGGGCAAAUACUCGUAGAUGAGCAGCUUCUCUGCCCCCUCGGUGCAGCAGCCAAGGAGACGGACCAGGUUCCGGUGCUGCAGCUUGGCGAUAAGAAUCGCCUCGUUCUUGAACUCCUCUGCUCCCUGCUCUGAAUCCUUGCCUAGCCUCUUCACAGCGACCACCUGACCGCCGUCUAGUUUUGCCUUCCCAAUGGUAAACAGAAACAAGCAGUGGAGUGAGACCAUGAUUUUAUUUAUUUACUUGGCCACUGAAUGGACCCCGAUAAAUUCCCGAACGUUCGGAAUUUAAGCAUUUCAUCCCAAACGUUUUUUCAUGACAACUUUAGUUGACGCGAGGUGGCAACUUUAGUUAUUAAGACAUAACAACUGUGUCCCAGUUUGUUUUUUCUUAGAAAACUGCCAUGUUUGCCAACCUCGCGUAAACUAAAGUUGCCAUGAAAAACGUUCGAAUUGCCAUGCUUAAAGUCUGAAUAUUCGGCAUUUAUCAUUUCCGCUGAAUUUUGUGCUAAACUGACAGAACAUCGAAGUUCGUGUGACUGAAAGACAGGUGAAAGGUAGUAUACCUUGUAAACCUUGCCGAAGCCUCCCCGCCCGAUCAUGAGGGUCUUGGAGAAGUUGCCCGUGGCGGCGACAAUGUCGGCGAACCGUAUGGACGGGAACUCGAGGUCUCCGGUGUGAUCUCCUUCCCCGAUUUCGCUCGAUGUGUUUGUGGACCCGGUUCUGAUCCCGGGCAUUAGCGUCUUCUGGCUCUCGGUUUUUCUUUUCUUUUCUGUAAAAUUGUUGCGAUGAGCAUCUUUUCUAAGAAUGAAAUGGUUGGGCCUGGCAUGUUUAGAGGUAAGGAAAUGUAACUGUACCUCUGAAUCUGCAGAACCAUACAAAGAAAAUGCAUGUCAGCAGCAGGACAGCUGCUGACACCGGCACUGCUAUUUUCACGGCAUUUCUGUUGGCCUUUCCACCUGCACAUGCAAAUACACGGCAAAAGUUUGAUGAAACAACAGUAAACUUUUUGUUUGAAUUCAGUAAAAUCCAGCGGAACUCUGGAAAAGUUUUUUUUGAAAAAGCUCUGAAAAGUUUGGUUAACUUGUUUCUAUACCUGGGGAAGUGGAAGCAGCAGCGACGGGGACGCGGAGGUAGAGCGUCUCGCCGCCCCAGCGCGGGCCGAUCAUCUGCGCGUCGACAAGCUCCCCUGCCCACACGAUGCACCGGCUCAGUUCGCCCUUGGCGCUGCUGCUCUGCAGGUUGGCGUACGCGUACGCCUCGCACGAGCAGUUGGCGGCGCACCUGGCCGCGCACUCCUCCGCGCUCCGGUUGCCGGCGUCGAGCGAGAACUUGUCCGGCACCUUCAUGGUCGGCAUCGGCACGAAACCCACCCUCAUGCCGCCGCCGCCGCACGGCGGCAGAGCCUCCUUCCGCCGGCACCCCUGCUCGAACACGCCCGCGCUCCACUCCGACGCGCUCGCCGGCUCGAACCCGUCGAGGCACCUGCACGUGGCCGGCGCCGCCGUGACGUCGCAGUACCCGUACGCGCCGCAACGCUUGUAUGUGCUGCACCCGCUCGACGGCCAGGACUGGAUCGUGGCCCACGCCGACACGGUGCCGUUCCAGCUGAGGAGCUGAAACCUGCCGGAGCUGGUCACCACGUACCGCGUGGGCGCCGCGCCGCCGGAGAGGGUGAAGGCGAUGGAGAUCUCCUCCUCGGUGUCGACGAUCGCCGUGUAGAGCACCGUGCCGGCGCUGAGGUACAUGCUGGCGACGGCGUACCCCUUCCAGACGGGCGUGCGCCAGUAGGGCCGCGUGCCGUUCCACAUGAGCAGCUGCAGCGACGUGCCGGGGUCCAGGCCGUAGGAGAAGCUCCCCGCCGCCGGGUCGCCGGGGGAUUUCCAGGACACGAUCCGGUUGCCCUCUCCCGUUAGGUGGCUCAGCCGCACCUUCAUCCCCGGGACGAACGUGUCCGUCGGGUGGUCGAAGCUCUGCCACACCACCGUGCCGUUCGGCGACCGGACGACCAGGUUGCCCUCGUUCGUCAGCAGGGCCGGCGGCGAGGAAGACGAGGAGGACGUGCUGCCCGCGCCGGGAGUACUCCAGAGCACGCGGCCGUCGGCGUCGGACACGACGAGGCUGGAGUCGUUGGCCAGCGCGAGCGUCGGGGAGCCGGCGGCCGGGGCCUCCCGGUUGGCCACCCAGACAACGGUGCGGGGGGCAGGGAUGCCGUUGUACCAUAUGCCAAGAUACCGUCUCGCCGGACCGGCGGCGUCGUCCGGAGAGAAGAAGCCGAGAGCGAAGGCGCCGCCGUCCGACACGAGGGUUUGCUCCACAAGGAGCCUCUCGCCGACGGCCAGCUGAUCCUCAGCCGACGCGCACAGGAGGCAGACGGCGACGGCGAGGACGAGGACGACAGAACGUGACAGGUCCAUCGAUCAAGUUCAAGCUAGCUACCGCCUUGACAUUUCGUCUGGGCAUGCAGUACAUGAUCCUUCUUGUUCUUGGCCUGCAAGGCCCGCGAUGUAGCCUAGCUAGCCACACGGUGACGCGAGCUUGUGAGUUCAUAUUGACUAGUUUGAGCAUGCACCAGGGUCCAGGGAAGUGCAGUGCACAUGGGCGCAGGUGAAGUGGUCUGGUCUCCUGUGUGUGCGCGUGACGCGCAAGUGCAUAAUGCGACCUACCAUGUCCAACAACGACAGUUGAUUCUGUGGUGUUUUGGCACGAGGGCGCGACCGAUCAGGUUGACACAGUGGAUUGUUGACAAUGUGGGCGAAUCUCGAGGUUCUCGCCAGGGGCCGGAUCUCGCUGUUCUCACCGCCGGCAUGCCCAAGGAGGGAAGGCUCGUUGAGGGUGGCAGGGUUUCACCGACCACGAUGGGCUCCUCGUGUCGUUCCCGUUCCUGGUCCAGAUCUGUUGUAGCCGGGUGGGGACCUUUCCCACAUUCGGUUCAUCGGCGGAACCGACGGGCGUGCCGGAUUAUGUGGCAGCCGCAAGGCUGUCUAGGGUGCUAGGGUUUCAACCUUCCCAUUUAGCGUCAUCAGGGAUGGAUGACGGAGUCGAUCAGUGGCGGAUCCAGCAUUUGAACUUACUCGGGACGGACUUAUAAAGAAAACGAAAAAUCAAACACGAUGCAAUCAAAGAAGAAAAUAAAGAAAAUUAAUUGGCCUAGUAGUAUGAUUCAAGCAGGACGAUCCACAUAAUUAACUGUUCAAAUUAGUUUCAUUCUAAGAACUAGGAGAAAAAUAUAUGACUCACCACAAAAUUUAUAUAAAUUCUAACUCUGACUUCUACUUUAUCCAAAAAUCUCUAAUCAUGCAAUUGGUAACUAAAACAUGUAAAAGAAGUAUUAAUAUUAAGAUAAAUAUUUUAGCAUACUCUUGAAUUUAUUUUUGAAGGCCCGGGGUAGGUUCAAUGUUCAAUGUAUGCUUGAUUAAAUAUUCAAGGAACAUUAGCUCGCAAAUUGUACGUAUCAGUUUAUUAACUUAAUAAUUCAGGAAUAUUAUCUAACUCUUGAAGGGUUAUUCGUAGUUCUGACUCUAGAAUUUUUUUUGAGUUGAUUUGCCCUUAAAUGGGGGAACAUGGGAGCAUGGGAGAGGGCUCCCGAUCAAUAGCGUGAUGGGGAACGAAGAAGGCUGCGUACAGAAAAUAAAUGGGCUCUUCUUGUUUUCUAUUGGGCCUUACUUAUUGCCCAUCUCCUUAGGACCUUAGCGAAUCGUUUUCUUUCCACAAUUCCUCUUCUUAUCUUCCUCUCGACCUCGCCAUCAACGGAACACACAGGCAGAGCUUCUCUCGCCUCCCAUGGUGGUCACUGGCCUGCCCAAAGCAGCAGGGUACACUAGGUGUAAAAUUUUUACCCGGGGCGGCCGCCCCUACAUGACCCCACACUGGCGCCGCCCCUGGAGUCGAUUGCAGCAGAUCUCACGUAGGGGGUUCAGAGCUCAUAGUUUAGAUGCGAUGGUAACAGAGUAAGAGAUUUUGCCCAGGUUCAGGUUCUCCGAGGAGAUAAAAUCAUAUGUGAUAUGUCAUGCUUUGAAUUGAUUUCGGAUGGAGUACAAAGUAUAGGUUGAUUUGCCACGAGAUCGUUGAUCUGUCUAGAUCUGAUGAUUUAAGUUGUCAUAUCUACCGACUAGCCCGACCUAGGAUUACAAGAGUCCUAGUCGAUUACGUCAGUGCACAGGAGUCCUCCACGAAUAGGACUCCUUGUCUUGAACGGGAAGCCUUCUUGAUUCUUCUAGUAGAUUCCGCCCAAAGUGGCCUGCGACGGAACCGAGAAGAAAGUCCUCAGUCUGGCUCGCCUGACUGAGAGUUGACAUGGUGAGAGGUUCCAUAUCUUAGAAACCGUUAAAAGCCCCUGAACUGGUCUUCAAGUUUGGCCACACCUUGAGCUGCUCGUCGUCUUCGGCCGCCUACCUUAAAACUGGUUCAACGAAAUUUUUCCCCGAUCAAUGUCUUCUUGCAGACGAGUUUCAAUGCCGGACAUCAUCCGAUGUGUAGUAGACCACCUCGGUCUUGAAAAGUUAAAGUUUAGACGAGUUGCACUCCGAAAAAGUUUCCUGCGCAGCCAGCUGCUCGCAGCCGACAUCCAUGUCGGACUGCUUCCGAAGUGGUGUGUACCACCUCCGUCUUGAGUUGUCUAUGUAGAUGGCCAGCCUCCGUAGAAAAAAGUUUUCCGCCAAGCCGGUAUCCGCCAGCCGAUUUUAUGCAGAUUUUUUUUCGAUUAGUGUAAUUUAUUCACUUCUGAGAUAUGUAGGAGUAGCCCAAAAGAUGUGUGCCGGCCUAAAGCCCAUGAUGCAACCGAUGUAUAAAAUAAAACCACUAAUCCCAAUAGACCCCGGGACUGAGGUCAAUUCACUAAAUCGCCGCCAGGAUCUUAUUCUUGCUUGGUAGCAUACUUUUAGAAAAACUGUUGUGCGCGCAUGCGGCCAUGACGGAAGCCGCCCAAUGACGAUGGCCCCUGACUGGCACACAUUCGAUCCGUCAUAGACUUUCCAGCCGGGUCGUACAGUUCAGAGCCGUCUGGGAAGAUCAUCCUCAUCCUCGUGGGACGAACACAUCGAUAGGUGGCAGUGACUGGACUAUCAUGCGCGGGCCAGCGUGAGCAAGAUGAGUGCGGGCGCACCUGACACCGCGCAAUGACAGUCGCCCCGAGCUAACCCCACGGUCCACCCGUCAUGGACCUUCCACCCAGGUCACCCUGGUCUGAGCCGUCCAGGCAGAUCGGACGGCUCGAAGCCGUCCUGAGAGGCUCUCACCGCAAGCCAACCAAGAACAAUAGCCAGGAGCCUCUCUUCGCCCUCGACGAGCCCAGAAAGGCGGGUACUCCUACAUCCUUUAUAGGAGUAAUUAGAAGGGAGAUUGAAGUGCAAAGAGAUUUUCAACAUUGCGGUGAGGUUCUCCGUGAGGAACGAAGAAGACAAGGAAUACUGGCUAGUGAAAUAGCUUAAUAAAACUCCACCCUAUGCCAAGUACCCAGACCUACACUUGAUUGCUUCUGAAUAUGAAAUUUUGCUAAAUAUGUCUUCCAAGGAAACCUCAUCAAUUGUUGCCUUCCUCGGGAACCUCUCUAGGGUAGAGAAUGCCUCAUACGAAGCUCUCCUAAUUGACCUCACCCCGAUCCGUUCUCUUUGUGGAGCGAGAUGUCAUCGGCUAGGACCUUGAAGCGCCAGGUAGCUUCACAGUUUUUUUUUUUUGAGUUGAAGGUAUCUUCACAGUGAAGUCUGUGUACGUGAAACUGGUCCAUGGGCCUCCAAUCAGGUAUUCCAAGGCCCUUUGCCCCUCUUUGGUCCAACUAAGAAUCAAAAUCUUUCUAGCAAGCGGCCAGAGAUAGAUUCCCCUUGGCUACCAACCUCCAAAAACAACACGAGCAGGGAAUGGUCUCUGUGUCCUUUGCGCCGAUCCUGAAGACCCGAACCACAUUGUUUUUCUUUGCUUGCUGGCGAAAUUUCUUUGGUGUUGUAUCUGACAAAGUUUUUGGUGGUCUUGGGACCCUUCUUCUUUUCCAGACAUGUUCUCACUUCUUUCGGUCAUUCACAGCCAAUAACAUAGGCUUGCGUGGAAGGCCUCCGCCGCCUUAGCUUGGGUGCUUUGGACGUGUCGUGACAACCUAGCCAUCUAGGCUACCAUCCCUAACCGUCACGUUGACUACAUUUUUAAACAACAUAUCUUUUUUCAAUAGUGAAGCCCUCUGGGAAAGAGGAACAACUGCGAGGAGGCCAGAGUGGUGCUUAUAGUAAGAUCAAAGCGAUCCACACCAUCAAUAGACAAACCUCCUAAUCGGAGGGCCUAGCUAGUUUAGUUGAUUUCAUGUUAUAGUCCUUUUAUUUGGCUGCUCCAUGUUGAGUCCAACAUGUAACCAUAUACUAUGUUUGUUUAGGUGAACCAUAUACUAUGUUUUGUUGUUGUUCCUGUCGUGGUGUGACCUUGAUCUUUUGGCUUUAUUUUUUACAAUUUAUAAACCGGGCGCUACUAGCGCCUCCGUUUUAAAAGAACAGCUAGCAAACCACUCCUUGACAUUUCGUCUGGGCCGGCCGUUUUAAAAGAAGAGCUAGCAAGCCACACGUACUUUUUGAAGCCAUAUUGACCGGCUUCAGCAUGCAUCCAGACUCCAGAGUCGCGGAGAAGGACGGAUCGAUCGACAUUUGUUUGGCCUGCAUGCGAUCGAUGCGUGCGUGAGUGCUGACGUGGUGUAGUGCAUGGCGCCAGGUGGACGAUCGAGCUAGCAUGGUGAGUUGGUGACCUGUUUCACAUUUCGUCUGGGCAGUACGUACGUGAGUGACCCUUCUUGUUCUUGGUCUGCAAGGUGAUGUGCUCACGCAGUGACGCGACUUCCUUGUGAAACCAUGAGUCGAUUUUCAUUAGGCCUUGUUCAGUUUGGCAGGGUUUAAAGAGGUUUGAAAGGGAUUGAAGGGCCCCUUCAAUCCCUGUGGCAAGGGGAUUAACCAAACAUAACCUUAAGGAAAUCGCCAAAGGUCUUACAAUAAAGAGAGCAAAAGGCAACCCGUCAAAAAAAAAGAGCGCAAAAGGCAAAAAAUCAGGAAGACUAAAAAUCUGAUGUUAGAUUUUUAGACAUGGUAAAUCAAACGUUUUUCAUGAAAAUUUAUAUUGACGUGAUAGUUUUUUUGAUUAAAAAAAUGGACAGAGACAAAUAUGCUAUGUUGGCUAACUAAAUUUGCCAUCCUCAACGAAUACAAUUAUAUAUAAAAAAACAUCCGAUUUGCCAUCUCUAAAAUUCUGACAUUCCUGGAAUAUCCGAUUCCAAAAGAAUCUAAUAAAAAAACAUUCCUGGAAUUUCUGCCGGCCACGCAGGGCUCCUCAUGUCGUUCACGUUCCCGAUCCGGAUCUGCUGUAGCCGGGUGGGGACCUUUCCCGCAUUCGGUUCAUCGGCGGAACCGACAUGCUCGUCAAAUUUGGUGGCAGCCGUGAGGCAGUCUGGGGUGCUAGGGUUUCACCAUUCCCAUUUAGAGUCAUCAGCGAUGGAUGACGAAGUCUAUUCUGGCAGAUCUCGCGUAGGGGGUUCCGAGCUAGUAGUUUAGACGUGAUGGUAACAUAGACGAGAGAUUUUACCCAGGUUCAAGCUCUCUGAGGAGAUAAAACCAUGUCAUGCUUGUUGUGGAUUGCUUUGGAUGAAGUACAAAGUAGUGGUUUAUUUGCCACGAGAUCAUUGAUCUGUCUAGAUUUGAUGAUCUAAGUUGUCAUAUCUAUCAACUAGCCCGACCUACGAUUACAAGAAGCCUAGUUGAUUACGUCAGCGUGGAGGAGUUGUCCAUGAAUUGGAGUCCUUGACUUGAACGGUAAGACUUCUUGAUUCUUCUAGUAGAUUGCCAUGGGCCGCCCCAGGUGACCUAGGACGGAACCGACAAGGAGCUCCUCAGCCCGGCUCGCAUGGGAGGGAAUUGACAUGGUGAGAGGUUCCAUAUCCGAGACACUCUCAGUGGCUUCUGAAUCGGUCUUCAAGUCUGGCCACACCUCGUCUUUUCUGAGCUACUCGUCAUCUUCGGCAACCUGUCUUGAAACUGGUUCAACAUAAACUUUCCCCAAUCAGUGUCUUCUUGCAGCCGAGUUUCGAUGCCGGCCAACAUCCGAAGUAAUGUAGACCACCUCAAUCUUGAAAAGUUGAAGGAGAUUAGCCGAGUUGCAUGUCGGAAAAGUUUCCUACGUAACCAGUUGCGUGCAGCCGAACUCCAUGUUGGUCCGCUUCCGAAGUGGUGUGCACUCGGUCUUGAGUUGUCUACGUAAAUAAAUGUCUGGCUUCCCUGGAUUUUUUUCCGCCAAGCCGGUAUCCGCAAGCCAAUUUUUUGCAGAUUUUUUUUCGAUUCGUACAAUUUAUUCUUUGCCCAGAUAUGUAGCCAGUAGCCCAAGAGGCGUGUGCCGGCCUAAAACCCAGGAUGCUCUUGAAGUAUAAAAUAAAACAGCUAAUCCCAAUAGACCCUGAGACUCAAGUCAAUUCACAAAAUUGUCCCGAGGAUUGUACUCUUGCUUGGUAGCAUACAUUUAGGAAAAGCACAGUGUGCGCGCGUGUGGGCGUGACGGACACCGCCCAAUGAUGGUGGCCCUAGGCUGGCACACGGUCCAUCCGUCAUAGACCUUCCAGCCGGGUCGUCCAGGUCCGAGCAGUCCGGGCGAAGACGCCAAUAGUUGAGCCCAAUUGGACUGUCACAUGCGGGCCAGUGCGAGCAAGGCGCCCCACAGGCCUACCUGACGCCGCCCAAUGAUGGUGGCCACUGGGCGAGUCCUACGGCUUGCCCGUCAUGGACCUUCCAAGCAGGUCACAUGGGCCCGAGCCAUCCAGGCAGAUCGGACAUCUCGGAGCCAUCCUAAGAGGCUCCCACCGCAAGCCAACUGACAACAGAUCACCAGGAGCCCCUCUUCACCCUCGACGAUCCCUAAAAGGCCGGUACUCUAGCAUCUUUUAUAUGAGUAAAAAGAAGGGAUCUCAGAUUUUGAAUGGGAUCCUAGAGUGCAAAGAGAAUUGUAACAUUGGGGUGAGGUUCUCCGUGGGCAACGAAGAAGAUACGAAAUUAUGGCUAGUCAAAUGGCUUAAUCAAACUCCACCCUAUGCCAAGUACGCAGACUUGUUCGUGAUUGCUUUUGAAUAUGAUUUUUUGUCAAAGAUGUCUUCCAAGCCAAGACAACCUCAUCAAUCAUUUCUUUCCUCAGGAACCUUCCCGGGGUAGAGAAUGCCUCCUAAGAAGCUCUCUUAAUCGACCUUGCCCCGAUCAGUCUCUCUGUGAGAGAGAUGUCAUGGACUGGGACCUUGAAGCGCCAGGUAGCUUCACAGUUAACUCUUAUGUACGCGAAACUGCUCCAUGGGCCUCCAAUCAGGUAUUCCAAGGCCCUUUUGUCCUCUUUGGUUCAACUAACAAUCAAAAUCUUUCUAGCAAGUGGCCAGAGAUAUAUUCCCCUCGGCUAUCAACCCCCAAAGACAACACGUGCCAGGGAAUGCUCUUCGUGCUCUUUGCGCCGUUCUUGAAGACCCCAACCACAUUGUUUUUCUUUGCUUGCUGGCGAAAUUUGGUGUUGUGUCUGCCAAAGUUUUGGGUGCUCUUGGGACCCUUCUUCUUUUCCAGACAUGUUCUCACUUUUUUUGGGCAUUCAGGCCAAUAACAUAGGCUUGUGUGGAGGUCCUCCGCGGCCUUAGCUUGGGUGCUUUGGACGUGUCGUGACAACUUAGCCAUCAAGGCUUCACGUUGACUACAUUUUUAGACAACAUAUCUUUUUUGAACAAUGAAGCCCUCUGGGAAAGAGAAGAACUGCUAGGAAGCCAGAGUGGUGCUUAUAGUAAGGUAAAGGAGAUCCAUGCAAUCAACACACGAACCUCCUAAUCGCAGGGCCGGCCUGGGUUUGGUUGCUUUCAUGUUGUAGUCAUUUUAUUAGGCUGCUCCCUGUUGAGUCCAACAUGUAACUAUAUACUAUGUUUUGUUAGGCCAACCAUACUAUGUUUUUUUUUUUGUCAUGGCAUGAUCUUGUGGCUUUACUAUUUAAACCGGUAGCUGCUUACGCCUUUGUUUGAAAAGAACAGCCAGCAAACCACUCCUUGACAUUUCGUCUGGGCCGGCCGUGUGAUCCUUCUUGGUCUCCAAGGCGGCCGGUCUAGCCACAGGUAUGAGUUUCUGAAAUCAUAUUGACCAGCUUCAGCAUGCAUCCAGACUCCAGGGUCGCGGAGAACGACGGAUUGAUUGACAUUUUAUAGCCUGCAUGCGAUGCGUGCGUGAGUGCUGGCGGCAGGUGGACGAUCGAGGUAACCUGGUGACCUCCCUGGCAUUUCGUACGUCUGGGCAGUACGUACGUGAUCCUUCUUGUUCUUGGCCUGCAAGGCGACGUGGCCACAGUGACGCGACCUUCACUGGUGGAAAAAGGGCCUUUGGUCGCGGUUCGCAACUGCCAUUAGUCGUGGUUGCGCAACCGCGACUGGACGGGCGCGACUAAAGGCCCCCCCUUUAGUCGCGGUUGCUUAAGAACCGCGACUAAAGGCCCUUUAGUCGCGGUUCUUGUGGCUAACCGCGACUAAAGGCCGCCACAGGUUUUUGAAAAAAAAAUUGAAUUUUUUUUUUCAAAUUUCUGAAUUAUUUUAACCUCUAGUCUCUAAUCACCACCCCUCAUCACUUCUCAAUUUAUUCUUUUAUCACCCCUCAUCAUUUCAAAUCAUCUAACUUCCCAACCGGUCACCCAUCCCUCUCACUACUCCAGCCCAAGCACGCUUAACUUCCGGGUUCUAUUCUCCCACGCUCCAAGUCUGCACUUGUUGUUUUCCUGACAAUAAUAAGAUGUCAAUCCUAUUAACCUUCAGGAAUUUUGCUUGAGCAUGAAGUGACACAUUUCACUGUUUGAGUUUGAAACUAUUGUUUUAAAAAACAAUAAUUAUUUANNNNNNNNNNGGCCUUUGGUCGCGGUUCGCAACUGCCAUUAGUCGCGGUUGCGCAACCGCGACCAGACGGGCGCGACUAAAGGCCCCCCCCUUUAGUCGCGGUUGCUUAAGAACCGCGACUAAAGGCCCGUCCACGUGGGCGGAGGACCUUUAGUCGCGGUUCUUGUGGCUAACCGCGACUAAAGGCCGCCACAGGUUUUUGAAAAAAAAAAUUGAAUUUUUUUUUUCAAAUUUCUGAAUUAUUUUAACCUCUAGUCUCUAAUCACCACCCCUCAUCACUUCUCAAUUUAUUCUUUUAUCACCCCUCAUCAUUCCAAAUCAUCUAACUUCCCAACCGGUCACCCAUCCCUCUCACUACUCCAGCCCAAGCACGCUUAACUUCCGGGUUCUAUUCUCCCACGCUCCAAGUCUGCACUUGUUGUUUUCCUGACAAUAAUAAGAUGUCAAUCCUAUUAACCUUCAGGAAUUUUGCUUGCGCAUGAAGUGACACAUUUCACUGUUUGAGUUUGAAACUAUUGUUUUAAAAAACAAUAAUUAUUUAGUAACACUAAUAUUUCUUGAAUAAUUAGUUUGACCAUUGUUUGACCACAGUUUGACCACAGUUGACCACAGUUUGACCAGAUUUGACCAAAAUUGAAAUAAUUAAAAUAAUUAUUUAGUAACACUAAUAUUCUAGAAUAAUUAGUUUGACCAUUGUUUGACCAUAGUUUGCCCACUGUUUGAAUAUUUUUCAAUUUUUUCCACUCUAGAUCUUACAAGCCCCGUAACUUUUUUUCUAUUAGGUUUUUGAGGAUUUUGAAAAUGUUUAACGGGGUUCCCCCCGUUAAAUUUGGAUGUAACUUUUUGAGUAGAUGAUUUUUCAUAUAAAAAACUUUUUCAUCCGAGUUAGUAUGCAAAAGUUAUGCCCAUUUUUACAAAUUUCAGAGAGAUUUUGCAAAUAAAGUCAAAAUUCACAUUUGCAAAUUUUCCCAACAACUAGACCACAUAUCACAUGAGAAACUUAUUUUCUUUUAUUUUUUUGACAUUUCCAUUAUUUUCUUUUAUUUUUUUUAAAACUGAAAAGGCGAUCCAGGGGGGGGGGUAGAGUUUGAAAAUGGGACCUUUAGUACCGGUUCGUGGCACGAACCGGGACUAAAGGUCUCAACCCCAUUAGUUCCGGUUCGUGCCACCAACCGCGACUAAAAUGGAGGAGCUUUAGUNNNNNNNNNNNNNNNNNNNNNNNNNNNNNNNNNNNNNNNNNNNNNNNNNNNNNNNNNNNNNNNNNNNNNNNNNNNNNNNNNNNNNNNNNNNNNNNNNNNNNNNNNNNNNNNNNNNNNNNNNNNNNNNNNNNNNNNNNNNNNNNNNNNNNNNNNNNNNNNNNNNNNNNNNNNNNNNNNAAAGGCCUUUGGGCACCUUUAGUCGCGGUUGGCCUGGCCAACCGCGACUAAAGCCCGCGAGCGCCCUGGGCCCAGGCAUUUGGUCGCGGUUCAUCUGCCGAACCGCGACUAAAGACUUCAUUAGUCGCGGUUCCUACAGUUUCGCGACUAAUGGGGCUGGACGGAAGCCUCUUUUUCUACCAGUGCUUUUUCUUUUCUUUCUGAAACAACCAGUCGAUUUUCGUUAAAGAAACUGCCAAAUGUCAAUGCAAAGGGAGCAGAAGGCAAAUAAAACUUAAUAAAAAAAAACUUAAACAGCGUAGUUUUGGCGAGGCAGGGAGAAUAUGCAAUUUCCCAUUAAGUUUUUCAUCCCAUACUACUCCCUCCGUUUGGAAAUACUUGUCUUAGAAAUGAUUGUAUCUAUUCUAGAUACAAUUAUUUCUAAGACAAUUAUUUCCGAACGAAGGAAGUAAUGUUUAGUUACGUGCCAGGAGCAAAGCAGGAAUAGCCUCACAAAAGCACGGGGCAUGCGCUUGGUGACUAGGAGAAGAUCAUCAAGCAGAAGCGUCGGCGACAGCACAUACGCAACCAGGGAGUGCAGCCUGCAGCGCACCCCUGCCCCUGGCCACUGGCGAACUGGUCCGGUCACUCACGCGCAAACGGCGACGAGGACUACCAUGACGGCGACGGCGCACACGGCAGAGCGCUGUUGGGUCUAACCCUAACUAGCACGAACUAGUUUUGAGGAACAGAUCAUAGACAAAAAAAGGAUACGAUGGAGAUGUAUUUCUGACAACGAACCACAACACCGAACGCCCUCUUUUCUCUGUUAUAUAUAUAGCUGGACAAACCAGAUCGUAUCUUGAAUCCUAACCAUCUACGCAUAACAACCUGGACUAACAAACCAAAUCACCGCCGGCUUUGUAUCACACGGGACGCACCUCCCAAGCUUCCUUUCCUACGCACGCACGUACGAGCGCCCAGGGACUCGCUCGCCUACGCCGUCCUCUACUACGCGUUCUGACGCGUCCAGCCGCGACUGCUGCUAACUGACUACGACCUAAACAUGAGCACAGACUCGACACGCACCCAACACACGCACACUCGCCAUGGCGUCCGGUACGACCAACAUGCACGCACACACUGGUCACCACCACCACCGUGUCUUACUCCUAACAACCUCCCCCUAAGACACGACCUAUAGUAAGGUCGGCUCGUCGUCGAUGUCGGUGAGGAGCGCCUUUUCCUUCUUCGGCUGCCGGCAGUCACGGGAAAAGUGGCCACGAACGCCACAGUUGUAGCACUUCCCGCGCCGCCGUCUCGUGCCCGAAGCCACGCUGCUCGCACCGUCGUCGUGGUCGAGGAUGCCGCCGCGAUGACGCUGUCGUGCCUCCGACUGGGCCUCCAUGAACAUCAGCUGAUCGCCGCCUCAUCCGCCGUUGUCCUGCAUGCGCCGACGUAAGCGUUCGUUGAACGCCUUGAGCCUACUCAACGCCUCCUCGAACGCAAUCGUCUCCAUGUCGCAGAACUGUUCGAUCCCGGCCACCGCGGCAUACAACCGAUCGGGCACCGUGUCGAGCAGUUUUUUCACCAUGGUGGCGUCGCCGAGCGUCGAGCCGAGGCCAGCAUACCUUUCUGCCAUGCCGCCGAUCUUGCCGGCGUACGCGUCCAGCGCCUCCCCCUCCUCCAUGCGCAGGUUGUCAAACUCGCCACGGAGAGUGGAGAGCCGCGCCGCUUGGACCCGAUCGGCACCGACGAACCUCAUCUUCAAGCAGGCCCACACCUUAGCCGCCGUGUUCUUCGUCGAUACCUGCAUCAACAGGUCUUCGGAGAGCGCACCGAACAGCACCGCCCUCGCCGUCUUGUUUUUCCCCGCGUCGACCGUCGCGUUGCCGGCCGGCGGCACCGCUUCCCAGAGGUUCUGGGCGUCGAGGAUGGCUUCAGCCUUGAUCGUCCACACCGUGUAGUUGUCCGGUGUGAGCAUCGGCAUCGGCAUCGACACCGUGCUACCCCCUGCGCCGUGCGGGACGAUCGCCAUGGCCACGAGUACAGGAACAAACGAGGCUCUGAUACUAAUUGUUGGGUCUAACCCUAGCUAGCACGAACUAGUUUUGAGGAACAGAUCGUAGACAAAGAAAGAAUACGACGGAGAUGUAUUUCUGGCAACGAACCACGGCGCCGAACACCCUCUUUUCUCUGUCAUAUAUAUAGCUGGACAAACCAGAUCGUAUCUCAAAUCCUAACCAUUUACGCAUAACAACCUGGACUAACAAACCAAAUCACCGCCGGCUUUGUAUCACACGGGACGCAGCGCCCAAGCUUCCUUUCCUACGUACGCACGUACGAGCGCCCAGGGACUCGCUCGCCUACGCCGUCCCCUACUACGCGUUCUGACGCGUCCAGCCGCGACUGCUGCUAACUGACUACGACCCAAACGCACGCACACACGCACACUCGCCAUGGCGUCCGGUACGACCAACAUGCACGCACACACUGGUCACCACCACCACCGUGUCUUAUUCCUAACAAGCGCGACAUGUCCGUCCAUCAAGGUCGCGCACGUAUGCACGCGUUUCUUGAGCGACAGCUGACAAGCGAAACGGCGAUAGGAGUUGAGCUAGCUAGCUAGCCAACACCCUGACAUUUCUUCUCAAGUCCUUGUCGAGCGCCACACGAGUGCCCUAUUGGCUAGUUUCAGCACAUCCACGGUCCGACAUUUUUUGGGGUGCUGGCGUAGUGCGGGCGCACAUGUCCGGUGACGCGCAAGUGAACAACUGCAGUUGAUUUCUGGCUUUUGGCACGAGCUUGCGACACACGAGGGUGGCAGGUGAUUGAAAAGCCCCCGCUCGGAACCACGCUGAAUAUAUAUAUUCUCUUGGGUAAAGUUUCUCUGUAGCUCAGACUACAUGGAAUCUCUUGUCUUCAUCCCUCCAGUAUUACUUUGAGAUCUGUACUCUUCAACUAACUUACAGCAAGAAGAUUUCUAUUUUUUGUUUACUUCAAACUUUGCAGAUCAAACAAAAUUUACAACUUCAAUGUCUGAAAAAACUUUCAAUUUUUUUGGACCAACAUAAAUAUACAACAUAAGGAUUUUUUUGAUUAAAAAAUAAAAUUUAGCAUUUAAAAUGCAUGAAAAAAUCUGAAAGUUUUUUCCCACAUAGUAAUUAGAAUGUUUUGUUGUCUUGCAAAGUUUGAAGUUUAUACGUUGUUUCGUUUGAGAGAAACAAAAAUGACAAAUAUGCCUGCACGGAUCAUGAUGCAAAAAUGAAUGGCUAAGAUAAGGGGUACCACGUAGCUUGAGCUACACAUGAGAAACAACAUUGAUACUUUAGUAUGCACUCCCUUUGAUUCAAAUUAAAGUUUGCCUCAAUUAAUAUGGACUGCAGGGAGUAUCUUCUUCGCAAAAGGAGGGUGCGUAUACUCCCGGCCUUUGCAUGAGUGGAUGCACACAACAAAGUAUAGGCUAUACAUAUAUAGCUUGUAUAUACCGGCGUAAAUCUGGUGAUUCAUCAUUUUUUUACGUUCUCUUUCAGAAACCAUUCAUAGAUCUGACCAGAUUAAAUCACCUUGUAGUCACAGAGAGUCGCCCACAAUGCUUGGAUGGAAAUUCAUCAAAUGGCGAUGCCAAUGCCGAUGCCGAUGACUUGCGGUUUAGACUUCAGAGCUUCAUAUGAAUGCAUGCACUCCACGACAGUCAACAUACUUAUCUUACGUACACGGGGUGGAUCGUUGUCGCAGAAAACCCAUUGCAACAACGGGUGACAAGGACACCACCACCUGCUCCAUGACUUGUGUCUAUUGUGAUUUCACUUUCAUCGACUUGUUUUUUCAAGAAAUUUUUGUGUGCACCUUGAUAUCUUCCUUUCUUCUCCAAACCGAGGCUGUGAUGAAGAAAAAAGAAGGAACAUAAAACAAAAGACAACCAGAGAUAGCGACUUCCAAACAACACAUGAAGUCUUCCCGCAAAAAAAAACAUGAAGUCGGAAUAUCAUCUCCCCUCUAUCUCGGUAAGAGUAACACUGUUCACGGAGUCUGAAUAUCAUCUCCAAUUUGCACCGCUUCAACGCUCCGUCGCACAAAGUAUGCAGGGCGAUCUGGGGCUGGAAGUGUGGUGCUUCCGUUCUCUAGGACGAAGACAACUGAUGACAUGAGGGACCUAUCAUGCGGGUUGUCUUGGACACACAAUAACGCUACAUGGAUGCAAAGCAAAACUUCGUCUAGUGAACAAGUGUCCAUGAUCAACGAGUCUGGCAGUUUCUCUGUGUCCCCUUCCUUCCACAUAUUCCAAGACUUGAAAUAACCAAGGACAUCGUAUUAUUUUUGUUUCGUUUGUUGAUGAAAAUAGAACUUGAGAGAACUCUUGUGUAGAUACUCACAUAGAGUAUGAGGCUGGGGAAGCCCAUCGUUUGACUGUUGGAGUUCCUCCUAAUGCCGGUUACAACCUCCAAUAGCACCACACCGAAGCUAUAGACAACAUUCUUGGUAGAGAAGACACCUUCCAUUGCGUACUCAGGAGCCAUGUAACCACUGCUUGAUUAUUUUGAUUGCAAAAGUUAAUGUAUUAGAGCACAAUUGAUUCAAAAUUUAAAUGAUGUUUCAAAGGAUACUCUCUAUGUUCCCACAACAUGUUGGGUAUUUGCAUUUUGUUGGUUAUCUCCAAAGAUCCUUGCCAUUCCAAAAUCUGCUAUCUUUGGUUUCAUCUCUGCAUCUAGCAAAACAUUCCAACUUUAAGAUCUCUAUGAAUUAUGGUUAAUCUUGAAUCUAGGUGCAGGUAAAGAAGUCCCCUUGCAACUCCUUUGAUUAUACUAAACCGUGUUUCCCAAUCUAGCAACAUUUUUCUUGAAUCAUCUGUAUACAGAAGGAAAGGUGAGCAUGAUUUUUUGAGUAGUUUUUAGGGAAUCAUGGUGUGUUUUUAUAAUAUGUACCGAAAAGGGUGGCAUCUAAGCUCUUGUUUGGUAAAUACUCAUAAAUUAGAAGUUUUUCAUUUCCCUCCGCACAACACCCGAGCAGUUGAACCAAGUUUAUAUGCUGCAAUUUGGCAAUUAGAAUUACUUCAUUCUUGAACUCCUUUGUUCCUUGUUUAGAAUCCCUACUCAGCCUCUUGACGACAACUUCUUGACCACCUAACAAUCCCUGUAGAAUUUAAAGGUAAAACCUAGCUGUCCAUUACAUUAGCUUCCAAAUCUCUUGAUUAUAGAACGAAUGAUCGAUUAUUACCAAGUGUGUUACCUUACUUUGCCAAAGCCUCCUUGUCCUAUCACACAUGUUUCAGAGAAAUUGUGUGUUGCUAGUGCAAUUUCCUCAAAUGUUACAAAUGGGAAUUCAUGAUUGUGUUCAGGGUGUACUUCACCAAGUUCAUGUGAGGUACUCAUUGGAUCCAACAAUACAUUCUUGUGGUUUCUCCCAUUUUCUUUCUUGCCUGCAUUCACAAUGUAUAACAAUUUCACCUCGAAAAUGUUUAUGAUAGACAUAGAAAAAACAAGUUGCUUUACCCCUAAAUUCACUUGUGUCAGUCUAUUAUUUCUGUUAUGAACUAAGAAAAUUUAGAGAAAAUAAUAUAUGGUCUACUUCUCUCCUUGUGGAAACCAUCGAGAUGACAAUGUGGUCAUCGCUUGACAUAUAAGAUAAAUUACACAUGUUAGAAGAAACAUAAAUUCUCCCUGGAUUAAACACGUCAAUUUUCGAGUCCAUAAUAUUGUGGUCACACAUCACACUUGUUUCUUGAACCAUCUCCAUGUUGAGUAGGUUUCUCUAGCAUACACUUGUAAUUUUUCAAUCUUACACUUGAGUCCAAGGUUAAAAACAGCGCUAGGCUUAGAGGAGGACGUUAUUCGCUCUAGUUUUAUGCGUGGAUGUCAAUAUUUGUAUGCCAAACGUACAUUACAAUAGUAAGCGCGAAACUUAGGGAAGCAAAUGUGAACUACCUUUGUAGUGGAAAAACACUAAGCGUACCUCUGAAUUUGAACCAUGCCAACGAAAUGCAUAUGAGCACUAUAACACUGCUUCCUAAAACUGGUAGCACAAUCUUAAUUGCAUUACUCUUUCUUCUUUUACCUGUGCAAGACAUGAGCCGAUACAUACCAUAUAAAAACAAUAGUGACAGUUUUCUAGCGUAGGAGAAAUAAAUUUCCAGAGGUGGAGGGGUUUGGCACCAGAUGUUGCAUUCAGUCCUGCAAGUCGGAGAUAGAGCGUGUCACUCCCCAACUCUUCACCUAUUUUCCCUGUGUCAAGCAACUCCCCGGACCAGACCAAGCACCUCGUCAUGUUUCUCUUGGACCCGCUGCUGCUUAAGUUGGCAUGUGAGUAUGCAACACAGGAGCAGUUGUGGUUGCAUUCUGUUGCACACUCCUCAAAUGUACUCCUACCGCCACCGACAAGCGAAUACUUGUCGGGCGACUUCAUCCCUGGCAAGGCCAAGAAGCCAUCAUUGCACCCUCGUAGUGGCUCCAUUCGUUGGCACCCUGCUGAAAAUUUUCCACCUGUCCACUCCACCGUGUUUGCUGGCUCGAAGCCGUGGAGGCACUUUUUUUGAGGGGUAAACUUGCCGCUGCUUUAUUAACUAAUUAAAGUUUGGGAUAUCAUCCGAAAUAACAUGUAAAAUAAAAUCAGGGGGAGACUGAAGCCAUGUCUCAGAUCUCCCCUCUCCUACAGCUACUCUAGCGAGUUUAUGCGCAGCGACAUUAGCUGACCUUCUUACCCAAGAAACUUUGAACUCUAAAAACGAGUUGAGCAUGUCCUUGAUUUCUUGAAUCCAGGGACCAACUGCCGAUAAAGCCUUCUCCUCCUGAAGAAUCGUCCUCACCAGCCCUUGGCAGUCCAGCUCGACAUGGACCCUCUCCGCAUGCAAAUCAGUAGCGAGUUGGAGAGCAUGCCUACACGCGAGGGUUUCCACUGCUUCCGGAUCUGACAUGUUUGGAAAAAAAUGACAGAAGCCAGCCCGGAACGCUCCAUCUUGAUCCCGUAGGACCGCACCACCUCCCCCCUUGUCCCCAUGUCUCGAAACCGCACCAUCCGAGUUAAUCUUCAGCCAACCAUCAUCAGGAGGUUUCCACUUCUCAACAAUCUUGGGGACCGGCUCGCGAAUCUUUGCUGCAUGAAUCCGCCUCCAUUCCUGCAUAUGAUCAUACAUGGACAUCAUUAUUUCAUGUGGGGAAGCGAUCUUUUUCCCAUCUCUAGCCUCAUUACGCGCUAGCCAUAGGCCAUAAACUGACUGUAUCAUCGCCUCCUUCUCCUCGUCGGCUGCCCCCGCGAACCAUCCCAACAGCCAGCUCGCUGAUGCACUAUGAGAGUUCAUCGGACUCGGUGGGAUCGCCACCGAAACUCCCUUUUCCAACUGCAUCAACUGCCAGAAUUGUGAUGAAUGUUGACAUGUCCAGAAUCUGUGAUGGAUCGUCUCCUCUCUACCACAUGCAACACAAAAAAUGCCAGGUUUUAUCCGACGACGGUGAAGUUCCGUGCCUACAGCCACACCAUUCCUGAUAACUCUCCACAUGUGAAUCUUUGCUUUGCCCGGUGCAUUUGUGCUCCAUAGUCCCAUGUACCCUUUAUGGCCUUUGACAGAGCUAGAGUGACCCGGCUGUCCGGUCAUCGCUCUUUGCAUUGACAUCCUGAGAUGAUACGCGGACCUAACGGUGAACACACCAUUCUUGGUGUAAUUCCAAGCCAAGAAAUCAUCAAUCCCCGGCCCGCCCAGAGCAACCUGUAAGAUAUCACGUGCAUCCGUCGGGGUAAACAUCUCCUGGACCUUAAGAGCAUCCCAGGUCGUUCCAUCUGGUGACAGUAAGUCCGCCACCCUGGUUAUACCCUGCAUAUAUGUUUGUCCAAGAGGGUGCAUACAUCCCGCUCGUGGAAUCCACUUGUCAUGGUGUAUGUUGACCCUAGAGCCAUCCCCAAUCCUCCAAACCAGGCCUUCUUGGAGCAAGUUUCUGCCAUGCAGGAUACUUUUGAAAGUGAAAGAACCGGCCGACGGGCUAGUGGCCGUCAUGAUAGACUGAUUUGGGAAGUACCUCGCUUUGAGAACCCUUGCACACAAAGAAGUUGGUACGUGCAAAAUGCGCCAUGCUUGCUUUGCCAAAAGGGCUUGGUUGAAGGCCUCGGGGUCACGAAAUCCCAGUCCUCCAUAGCUUUUCCCUAAACACAUCUUUUCCCAAGCAAUCCAAUGUACUUUCCUUUCACCAUUCAUUGCUCCCCAUCAGAAUUUUGAAGAGAUAGAAUUCAGAUUCCCGCAUGUUUUCUUUGUGAGUUGAAAGCAACUCAUGGUGAAUGUUGGUACAGCUUGAAGUCCAGACUUAACUAGCACUUCUCUUGCAGCUUUGGAGAGCCCUUGACCUUUUAUCCCAUUAACUUUGCCCUUAGAGCUCUCCAUGACAUACUUGAAGGCGCCUUCUUUGGAUUUGCCAACCAGUGUUGGCAAACCCAAAUACCUCUCACUCAGUGCCUCCAAAGAGACGCCCAAUAGCUCCUUUAGCUCAGCCUUGUCCUCAUCAGAACCCCCUUUGCCAAAGAAAAUCGAUGAUUUUUCUAGAUUCACUUUUUGGCCAGAGGCCAUUUCAUACUCAUGCAAGAUCUCCUUCAAGGUGUGAAUAUUAUCAUGUGUUCCUUCUAAGAAAACAAUACUAUCAUCCGCAAACAGUAGGUGUAUUACAUGGGGGCCAGUGCCUCCAAACGCCACCCCUUUUAUUCUGUUUUCGCCUUGAGCUUUUUUUAGAAGCGCCGAGAAACCUUCCACACAGAAAAGGAACAGGUAGGGUGAUAGAGGGUCCCCCUGACGUAGUCCUCGUGAAGGAGAAAAACCCCUUGAACAUCCCCCAUUCAGCUUGACUGAAAACACCGCUGAUCUCACACACCUCAUUAUCAUAGAUACCCACUCAGGGGCAAACCCAAAACGCAACAUCAUCCGCUCCAAGAAGGCCCACUCCACUCUGUCAUACGCCUUCAUCAUAUCAAGUUUCACUGCACAUAAAGGUUUCUUCCUCUUUCUCUUCCGGAUCGCAUGAACACACUCGUAUGCAACCAAAACGUUGUCCAUAAUGAGUCGUCCCGGGACGAAGGCGCUCUGCUCUUCAGAAAUAAGAAUCGGGAGAAUGCCUUUAAGCCUGUUAGCUAGAACCUUCGUGGCAAUCUUGUACAAAACAUUGCAUAGGCUUAUGGGACGGAACUGGGACAACAGCUCCGGUGAGUUGACCUUGGGAAUCAUCACAAUCACAGUUGCAUUAAAAGUGGUCGGAGCUGUAGCCCCACUCAGACACUCGCGAACAGCUCUACACACAUCCUCUCGGACCAACAACCAGUGUCGUUGAUAAAAGAGGGCAGGUAGCCCGUCCGGUCCCGGGGCUUUUGUUGGUCCCAUCUGGAAUAAAGCUGCUUCUAUCUCCUCAUCCGAGAUUUGCGCAAUCAGCUUGUCAUUCAUGUCGCCCGUGACCACCUCUUGUAUGUUUUGAAGGAGUGCUUCAGCUCCGUUUGAUCCCUCCGUUGAGAAUAACUUCUCAUAGAAGCUAGCUGCUAGUUCAUGCAUCUCCUCGUCCACUGUACAGCGAGUGCCAUCGUCCUUUCGUAGCGCUUUCACCGUAUUUUUACGCUUUCUGUGGGUAGCUCAGUUUUGGAAGUACUUCGUGUUCUGGUCGCCCGCUGACAGCCAACCAACCCGAGACCGCUGACGGUACAUGAUCUCCUCCCAUUCGUAUGUUUCACGCAGUUGUUCUUCGAUUUCCCGGAUCUCCAGUGAGACCCCGGUUGUUGCAGCCCUAGUUUUUGCCUCAGCCAGCUGGCCUUUCAGUUUAGAAAUUUUCCGUCUUAUCGAGCCAAACACCUCGCGCGCCCACCUUUGCAUGCUCCUAGAUAGAGUGCCAAGCCGCUGCCAAACAGCAGCCAGGUCGUGCUCCCCCGUACUCGAUGCCUCCCACGCUUCCUUCACCAUCUCAUCAUACUUCUCAUGUCUUGUCCAUGCCUCCUCAAAUCUAAACGGUCUGUCCACUCUUUCAAGGUGCCGUGGAGCUGUCUCCAGUGCCCUCACGAGGAUAGCUUGAUGAUCGGACUCCUCUGUGAUAAUGUGCUCCACCAAUGUCUCCGGGAAAAGCUCAAGGAAAGUAUCAUUGCAUGUGGCUCUGUCCAGCCUUACCUGAAUGUUCUCCCCUCCGUCUCUUUUGUUAUCCCAGGUGUAUGGGUAUCCCGAGAAGCCCAAAUUUGCCAUCCCGCACUCCGUCAGACAAUCGCGAAAGUCCUCCAUCUGACUGAAACUUCUUUGGUUUCCUCCAAUGUGAUCCGACUGGAAGAGAGCCUCAUUGUAGUCCCCCGCACAUAACUACGGCAAGUUGUCUUGACUUGCGAGAUAUCUGAUGGCGUCCCACGACUUCUUGCGUAGCUCGGUUCUGGGCUCACCGUAGAAUCCAGUGAAUCUACAUGCUUUGCCCUCCCAAGAUAAUUCUGCAUCAAUGAAGUAUUGGCACCAAGGCCUCACCGUUGCACUUACAUCAUCUCUCCACCACAAUGCUAAUCCUCCACUUCGACCCACACAGUCCACUGCUACACCGUUCUUAAAACCAAGACUCCACUUCAAUUUCUCCAUCGCCCUUGCUUUCUUUUUUGUUUCACAUAGAAAUACCACCACUGGGUUGUAUGACCUAACGAGGUCCCGGAGUUCGCCAACUGUCGAGGUCAACCCCAACCCUCGACAGUUUCAGGCCAAAAGAUUCAUGGCGUCCGGCGGCCCCGCCUCGCAGGGUCCGCCUCAUGGUUGUUCUCAGAAAUACGAUCAAACACUGUCGACGUCUUGCGUCGCAUCUCGCGAAUGAACGCAUCAUUUGAUGUCAGUCUGUCUGGAUCAUCCUUUGCCACCCAAAUUUGCCUCGGGCCUCUCUUCCUGCUCUCCUGAUCCACCCUUGGGUUUCCCCUAUGGUGGCGGCCAUAAUCAUAUUCAGGGCGUGGCUUCCUCACAUACGUACCCCUUCUCUUGUCCCUUGGGUCCCGAGCCCUGGAGCCAGUGCCCCAAACCCCGUCAGCCCUGCUGUCUGUCUCGUUAUGGUUAUCUCCAAACCUCACAUCCUCCUUACCCUUCCUCUGCCUAUCCCAUUCAUAUGUAUCAUACCCAUGCUGCUGUUCAAACAGCUUGUUCCUCAACUCCCUCUCUCUCCUUUGCUCUAAGCCAUGGCGCAGAUCAUCUUCCCCUGGCGGGGCAAACUUGGUGUUGCCCUUAUGAGGACUUGUUACUUCCGUUUCACCUUUUUCUCGGUCGCGAUCCUCGCCAGUGCGCUGGUCCGCUGUUCCAUUGAAGUCUCCGUAUAAGCUCCGCUUGACAGGAGCUUCUGUUUUCUUAUAGCCUGAUCGCCCGGCGUCUACAUGUCCUUUACCCUUGGGAUCGAUAUUUCCACUGCUGCUGCUNNNNNNNNNNNNNNNNNNNNNNNNNNNNNNNNNNNNNNNNNNNNNNNNNNNNNNNNNNNNNNNNNNNNNNNNNNNNNNNNNNNNNNNNNNNNNNNNNNNNNNNNNNNNNNNNNNNNNNNNNNNNNNNNNNNNNNNNNNNNNNNNNNNNNNNNNNNNNNNNNNNNNNNNNNNNNNNNNNNNNNNNNNNNNNNNNNNNNNNNNNNNNNNNNNNNNNNNNNNNNNNNNNNNNNNNNNNNNNNNNNNNNNNNNNNNNNNNNNNNNNNNNNNNNNUUCCUUUACAUUGCUGUUUCUACCCGAUGAAGCUCUGAGCCACUCGCCCCAUUGGAGCGAUGAGUCAAUCAGCGGGUCACAUCUUCCCCCUAUGUGCACCAAUCUUCCAUACUCAAAACAGAAGUGUGGUAUCUUUUCAUAAUGAAAGUCAAACCAGGUGCGAGCCUUGUCGUCCAGUGACGCUCUGAGGUAAAAUCCUCGGACUAGCGGUUCAUAAACAGAAAUUUUUGGAGGCACUUGCAUGUCGCGACGGGCACUGAUGUCUCAUCGCAGUACCCGUACAUGCCGCAAUAGCCGUAGUGGUUGCAUUCGAGGGACAACCAUUUCCCAAGAACUACCCAUGCCGAUGUAUUACUACUCCAGCUCUGGAUUUGGAACUCGCCAAAGUAGGUCAGCACGUACCUAGUGUGUGGGGCACCAUCAGAGACGUUGUAGGUAGUAUAGAUCUCAUCGUCGCCAUCGACUACCGCCAAGUAGAUGAUAACAUCUGCACUGCCAUUUGCCUGCUGGUAUCGAAGCUCGCUCUUCACCAGGUACCCCGUCCAUGGAGCGCUACGGGACACCGGACGCUCCCCGUCCCAUAAGAAUAUUUGAGGGAAUGCGCUUGUGUCGCCACCAUAGGAGAAGCGCCCCGGCGAAGGGUCACUAGGACCCUUCCAGGAUACCAGGCGGUCGCUGGUUCCAUUUUGCAUGUACUUGAACCGGAGCUUCAUGCCAGGAAGGAAUGUGUCGGUGUGGUGCUCGAAGCUCUGCCACAACGUGGUGCCGUUUAGCGAGCGGAUGACGAGGUCGCCGGUGUUUAGAAGCACUGCCACAGGGGUAGACGAGCCCAUGGCAGCACCCAUGUUGGUCGUUGUCCAAAUGACACGGCCACCGCCAUCACCAUCUGAUAGAACAAGAUUGGAGGAGUUGGUGAGGGAGAGCAUCGGUGAAGUCGUGUUGCUGGCCGGGUUUUCUCGGUUGGCAACCCACACCACGGUGAGCUCAGGGGUGUUGUUGUACCAGAUGCCGAGGUACAUCUGUGUCGGGGUGUUGGAUUUGGACAGGGAGAAAAAGCCUAAUGCAAAGGACCUCCGUCGGAGACGAUGGUGGCGUCAGGGGACAGUGUUUUGCCGGGUACAAGCCGGUCUUCGGACGCUCUCAAUGGCAGGAAGAUCAGAAGUAUCAACACUCCUAUCCUAGUGAAGCAUGGGAAAGCCGGCCAAUCCAUCGGUAGUUGAGGCCAGAAUUGAUACUGCUAAGUGGGUGUCUUGCAUUGAGGUUUGAUCACAAGCAAGAAAAUGGUUCGAAGAAGGAGAACGACAAGUUCCAGCAUCUAUUAUCUAUCUAUAUACAUGUUCGAUUCCGGAAGCAGAUGCUUCAAUAAUUCAAAGUCUUUUGGACAGGAGCAGUUGAGAGUGUGUUGGAUGGAGUUGACAUCUCAGCUGUCCACGUCGGAGUUGGGAUGCCACUGUCACUGCUGACUAGUCAGGCUAGUGACUGAAAUAGUAAGCAAUACCGCCACCUUGUUAGAAAAUAAAACUAUAUGGUUAAAUUAUAAAGCAUGAUUAUUAUGCCAUAGUAAAUCUUGAAAUUUAUCAUUUGUUAUUUUUAUUUCUGAGAUCGUUCGCGGGUGAACCAUAGUAAAUCACCUUGAAGACCUGUUCCUGAUAAUUGGCGGGAAUUCCACCACGUUUCCAAUAUUGAAUCGACCUGAUGCUGAAGGCAUGUCUUGGUCCCUGUGUGGUGUUGUACGCCUUGUGCCUAGUCAGGUUUUUCUUUUAACUUUUUUGUUCAUGGAAUGCUGUAGCACUAGUAUCGACUAUUAAUUUGUAUUGAUUCCGGUGAGAUACCGAGAAAAGGAUCAAACUGUACAAUGAUGGCGGCAGCGCCCUCUUUGAGUUCAUCGUUUGUUUGUUUAUUACUAACGCUUUUGCUGUGAGCUGUCUAUUUUCGUUGAGGGCAACCACACACAUUACAUUAACCAAAUAACAGAGUACAUACAUGUCAGAUUUCGAAAUUGAUACAUAUUUGAAAGAUCAAAGUGCCGUUAAGAAUCAAAGUCUCAAUGUUGUUUGUUCACAAAGAGGUGAUUCUGACUAAGGAUAGCUUGGCAAAGCGUAAUUGGGAGGGGAGUCAACGAUGUUGCUUUUGUGAUCAAGAUGAAACUAUUAAACAACUUUUUUUCGAUUGUCCGCUGGCAAAACUAUUAUGGCGUUCAAUUCAUAUAGCCUUUAAUAUCACCCCUCGAAAUAGUAUUCACACGUUAUUUGGGACGUGGCUAAAUGGAUUAGAGCUAAAUACCGCGAGACAUAUUCGGAUAGGAGUAUGCACAUUACUUUACGUUGUAUGGAACUGCAGAAAUGAUAUGAUUUUUAACAGACAAACUCGUAUAAAUUUUUUGCAGGUUAUCUACAGGGCCACUGUUCGGAUCCAUAUGUGAUCAUUAGUCAAUCCUGCGGAAGUCAGGGAGCCUUUGGUUACUGGGUCUACCCGAUGAGAGAUGAUAGCACGGGAUAUCUAUAACCGGUUUGGAUGAUGGUCCAAUAGGCUAGUUGUUUGAGAGUAGCGUUUCGAUGCUCAGACUCAUCUACAACCUGUCAGAAAAAAGUCAAAAAAAUACUAGAAAAUUCAAAAAAUUCCAUUUUAUUGCAUGAUAGAAAAUUUCUUGCGUGAGUUCCGCUUCAAUUUUUAGAUCAUUUGGACAUCUUAAUAGCUCUCAGCAAAAAAGAUAAAUCGGAUCAGAACAGUGCAUGAACAGUAAGCUUUUUACAUUUCCCAAAUUCGUCUAUUUUGCUGAGAGCUUCUCAGGUAUCCAAAUAAUUUGAAAAUUGGAGCAAACUCAUGCAUCAAAUUAUCUAUCAUGGAAAAGGAUAAUUUUUUUAAUUUUUGUACUAUUUGUUUUGAUUUUUUAUCUCAGAGUGGGCAGAUGAGUGGGCUCAGAAGUGGAUUAUCGUAGAUGUUUAGUCAUCUAGUCCUAUUUUUGCCGGAACCUUUUUGAUUACUUUUUCAGCUCUGAGCGAGCUUGUACUGGACCGCAGACCUUUCGGAUACUUUGCUUAAUAAAGGGCUGCAUGCGUCACUCUAAUGUAGAAGUCGGGGGUGAUCCUCCUUUUUUAAAGAAAAAACAGAGUACGGACACCAGGAUAGAACAUGUGUCCUGGAUACUAUGCAGAAAGAACCCCAUUUGUAUCAACUGGUGAGACUCGUGUAGCUUAUGCUUAGAGCUGUUUUGGGAACUGAUGGUGGUUACUAGCUAGAAGCCUACGGUCCUAUACUCCUGUUGUUUAUUUCGUGGACCUGUCUUGGUUGUAGUUUCCUUGAGAGAUGAAAUUAGGAGCAGGAAGUGUUAAAGACACAAAUUAGCAAGAGGAUGCUCUCUCGCUGAAAACAAAAUCAAAUUGUACGAAUAAAAGCCAAAGCAAAGCAACCAAAGGGACAAGAGAAAUGACAGCACGUUCAACCAAAUAGUCAAUGAAUCUAUCACUUGUAUCAGUGUGAAAUCACUUUCAUCAAUAUGCUUUUGCUGAAAUUUUGUAUGCACCUUGAUAACAUGUUUUUUGGUCUUCCAAACUGAGGCUGCGAUUUAUCAAGGCUAAAAGUGGAAAGUAAUGACUACUAAACAACAGAUGUGUUAUAUAGCCAUUUUGUUUAGCCUGACAUCUUUUGAUAAUAUAUUCAAUACAUAUAGGACAGAAGAACCAUCAUUUCAUCGCCCCUCUAUCUCAGUCAGAGUAAAACUAUUCACAGAGUUCUGAAUAUCAUCUCCAAUUUGCAGCGUUUCAAUUCUUCGCCGCGCAAAGUAGGCAGGGCGACUGGGGGCUGGAAGUGUGGUGCUUCCAUUCUCUAGGAUAAACACGACUAAUGACAUGAGGGGUCUGUCAUCUGGGUUCUCUUGGACACAUAACAGUGCUAUGUGGAUACAAAGCAAAACUUCAUCUAGUGAACAAGUAUCCAUGAUAGAUGAGUCUGGCAGUUUCUCUGUCUUCCCUUCCUUCCACAUAUUCCAUGACUGAAACAACCAAGAACAUCAUAUUAUUUUUCAUUUUGUAUGUCAAACUAAAAAUUGUUUCAGAAACUCAUGCACCUACUAAAUGGAACUCGAGGGAAGUCUUAUAUGUACUUACAUAGACUAUGAGGCUAGGGAAUCCCAUGGUUUGAUUACUGGAAUUUCUCCUUAUACCGGUUACGACCUCCAAUACUAACACUCCAAAGCUAUAGACGUCGGACUUCGUAGAGAAGACACCCUCCAUUGCGUACUCAGGAGCCAUGUAACCACUGCUUGUCAUUUCAAUUGCAGCAGUUACCGAGUGGGUGUUGAAUUGAUUGAAAACUUAGUAUGAGUGUUUCACAAUGCAUACUUACUAGGUUCCGACAACACGUUGGGUAUUCGCAUUUUGUUGGUUAUCUCCGAAGAUCCUUGCCAUACCAAAAUCCACUAUCUUGGGUUUCAUCUCUGCAUCUAGCAAAACAUUUCCAGCUUUAAGAUCCCUAUGAAUUAUGGUCAGUCUUGAAUCUUCAUGUAGGUAAAGAAGCCCCCUUGCGACCCCUUUGAUUAUAUUAAAUCGUGUCACCCAAUCUAGCAACAUUUUUCUUGAACCAUCUGUAAACAUAGCUAUAAAAAUGUGAGCAAACUUGUUUUUGAGUUGUUUUAUGAAAUAGUGUGUUGUUAGAAUUUGUACCAAAAAGUGUAGCAUCUAGGGCCAGUUCUUUUGGGCGGCUUAAAAAAUAAGCUGCCUCUCCCCAGAUUAAAAAAUAAGCCGCUCCCAAAAUUCAUGCAGACUUCUAGAUUAGUAAUCCCAUAACUAGUUCAGAAGCCCCAAUAAAUAAGGGAGGGGGCUUAUGACAAAAGCUAGGGAGGAGGCGGCUUAUUUUUAAGCCGCCAAAAGAACUGGCCACUAAGCUUUUGUUAGGGAGGUACUCAUAAAUCAACAACUUUUCAUCUCCUUCUGCACAACACCCGAGAAGUUGAACCAAGUUUCUGUGUUGUAGUUUGGCAAUUAGAAUUGCUUCAUUCUUGAACUCCUUUGUUCCUUGUUGAGAAUCCCUACUUAGCCUCUUGACAGCAACUUCUUUCCCACCUAACAACCCCUGGAAAAUUUUAAGUUAAGAUCAUGAUUUAUGUUUGUUAUGUGAACCACUCAAUUUUGUUGAUUUAUAAGAAUAUUAGAAAAACUACUAACGAUUUACCUUGUAAACUUUUCCAAAGCCUCCUUGUCCAAUCACACAUGCUUCAGAGAAAUUGUGUGUUGCGAAGGCAAUUUCCUCAAAUCUUACAAAUGGGAAAUCACGGUCAUGAGAAAGGUUUCCUUCACUAAGUUCGUAAGAGGUACUCAUACCAUCCAAUGAUACAUUCCUCCGUUUUCUCCAUUUUUCUCUCUUGCCUGCUUCCACAAUGUUAUAACCCCUAAUAAGUAUCUUAGAUGCAAAAAUAAUCUAUACUUCUAUACUACUAUUAAAAGAGCAAACUUAAGUUCUCCUAAAACCACACAGCAAACUGUACACAAGGUAACCAGAACCCUCGGAUCAAAUCAACUUAAACAUAUCUUACCGUCAAUAUUACGCCGGUAAUUUGUUAGCCAGAUCGACGACUCAGAUGAAAUGUUCUGCCAGCAGACGCCCGUGGUCUGCCUAUCCUCAUAGCGCUCCGCACUCUCGAUCCGCACGGCCCCGCCCAUAACGCGGAUAAAAUCCACCUGAAUCGCGUUAAUGACAUGUUUAUCCCGCUAUUUUCUCUGCCCCAGUCCUUUCCAUCUUCCCAAAUUCCCCAAAUUGCGUCGUCCCCAUAGUCCCGUCCACCAUAUCACCUCCAAGCGAUCCCAGCGCCACCGAUCUCCCGUGCCGCCACCACCUCCGCCGCCUCCUGGACAAGAGGCCACCACCAUUGAGCACCACUUCGGCGCGCCUGGUUGCCACCGCGACUCUGGCCUUGGAAGGUCGUCCUACUGUCCUGGAUCGGGGAGGAGGCACGAUUUGGAUCUGGGCGGCGACGGCUAAGCAAGGGCACCUGUGCUAUCGAGGUACAUCUCUUCCCACUCUCCCCGCCUCCCUCUCUCUUCCCCGCCGGGGUCGCCGUGAGCCCGUGACCGUGGACUGGCGGGGAAUGGGGAGCUUCGACAGUGAGGAACGGGGAGCACGGGUGCUCUGCUGGUGGAGGCAUGUUUUGGGACGGGGAGACCUUUGGCCGUGUGGAAUGAAGUGAGCUUUGGAUGCAAACUGAAUUUCAUCUCUCUCGGUUCUUGUUUUCUGCUGAUAGCACAUAAUAACAUUGGUAAUGUUGAGCCGACAAAGAGAAGUAGCAGACUAAUUUCUAUGUCGACAAAUGAUGAUUUGCUCCCCGUAUGUGGUUUCUGGUCAUAUUGGGCUAUGUGAAAAUUGGUUUUUCUCUGUAUUCUCCAUAUGACAUUAUUUUAUAAUCGCUGGAAUAUGAAAAUAGAAUGGUGUGCAGUUCUGCCCUUGUGAGCAAUCUCUGAUGCUUAUAUAUACUAGCAGUAACGUGUAGUAUUAGGUAUGGCAAAGUAAAUUUGCUUCAACAAUCAAUUCCAGCGCAGCAAUUUUUUUAUGGGAUUUCUCUUGCAAUCUGCACUGAAUUUUGUACGCCGAUGCCAGUUUGAUGGUUUUGCUUUGAAUGGUCUUCUCAAGGAAACCGUGUUCAAUUUGUAUGUUUUGCUUUGAACGAGUCUUUCUGGAAAUCUGUAUGUGUACUUAUAUGGCUGGUUGGAAUUGUGCAAAUUGUGAUGGUUUGCUUUCUAUGAGCAACUACUUGAAUGCUGAAAUUUUAUACAGUACAUAUCAUGUCAACAACAUGUAUCUCUUUUUAUUUCACAUGUGGAUAGAGAAGUUGCCAUACAUUGUUGUCCCCUUGGCAAUAUUAUGUAAUUCUCAAAUUAUCUUGCUAUCUUUGCUCAGUAGCAUUUAAUAUGACUAAUUUGAGAUCAGCAAAGAGGAAUGGGCCUGAAGAAAUACUGAUAUUGAGCUAGGUCUGCAAGGCGAUGUAUUGAGCUCUGCGUAGCCUUUGUAUGUGUUUUUGAUUCUCUUUCUUUUUAAACAUAGCCUGUAGAUGUCCUACGGUAUAUGUUAGCACAACUACUGAAGGAUUUGCAGGUGAGCAACUGUUAUAUGAGUUUGGAUGACAGAAUAUCACUAUUACAUCAAAAUCUACGGCUUUAUAUACUUUGUCACAUACUGCCAUAUUUCAUAUAUGACGACCAUAUCAAUCACGUGUUGUUUCUUUUUCAUUCAGAGUGUACAUUGCUUCCAGUGUAACAAGAACAGAAAAUAAGGUACUCUCUAAAUAAUGUGUGAGGAUUCUGAUUCUGUAAUUUGUUUUACUGUUGCUAACUGAGCAUGCUUACAUAAUGGGAUGGUUUGAGUGGAGUUUCAAAGUCAAUCGUCCAUGUUUGCAGUCUCAAGUUACUAUAUGUAUAGUCUGAGACCUAAUAAGUACUGAUCAUUUCAGAAAGUUUCACGUUUCAUACUUAUAAUUGAUACUGAUUGUAUUCAUGUAAUUGGGCCACUUGAUUAUAGUGAUUUUCUAACUAAUAAGUAAGAUGUCCCUGGUUCUGCAUAAAGAUUUAGGCACCCUAAUUUCUUAAGUCUUUGUGGAGUCAGAAGUUUUGAAUGUUUUUGUUCAGAGUCUUUUUGAAAUGAUGAGUGAUGCAUACCUAUUCAGUGUUUUACAUGGUACUGCAAGUGAAGAAAUGAUUUGUACUGAACCAUCUAAUGUGUUAUUGCGUUUCUUUGAAGUCAUGAAUUUGUAGCAAGUGACGCCCUCAUUGGCAUUAUUUUUCUUACAUAUCCAAGAUAGUUAAAGCAUCGUGGGGACCAGGAGGCCAAGCAGUCUGUGGUGUCUCCGUCGUUGUUGCAAAGAAACAUGCCCAAACUUGUAAGCCCAUAUUGGUAUUACUUUCCAUGAAUAACAGUGAUCUGUUAAGAAUUUAUCUGUUAUCUUGCAACAACCAACAAAAUAUAUAUUUAAGAAUGAUCUGUUAUCUUGCCAUGAAUAACAGUGAUAAUUUUGUUGUUGACUCAUGUUAUAUCCUCACAAAUAAAGUGCUACAGGGAACUUUCUCUAUCGGUUCAGGUUGGACGAGCAAGACAACAUACUGCAGACUGGGAACAAGGUGAGAAGAUUAGAUGCAAAUUUAUGUAGCAUAUGUACAGCUACAUUUGUUAAUCUCCUUCUCAAUUUUUCCUUUUUCUUUGCAGAGUAUGUUCGUCAUCAUUGAUAUGUGUUAAUACUCUCCUUGAGAUUGAUUCCUUUGCUUUCGCAAAAAAGCGUCAGAUACAUGGCGAGCUUCAAAAUAUCAGGUUGCAAAUACCAUCGUUGCUUUGGACCUUGCCAUGGAUGGAUGGACACUAAAUGACCACAAAUGCCUCUAGAUUAUUAAUAAGCGUGGUUCUACGUUCAGUGCUUUGGGCAUCUGUUUUGUCUCGGGCUGGUUCUACGUACCUGAUUUUGCUUGGAACAGCCACAGGGGCGAGGAUGUUAUAUUGAUGCAGCUUGGUUUGCUAACUAGCAAUGUUUUGUUUCUUAGACGGACAAACUUGUAUCUCAGAACCUUGAUGAAUUGUUUCAUUUGAUCAGCUUAUGUGGAAACUACUAAUUUUCAUUGCCUCUGUACACACACUUGCAUACCCUUUUUCCUGGUGCUUAUUGGCAAUGGCCCAUUCAUAGGCAUGACCUAGAAGAAAAUAAGAUUGAAGAUGUAUUUUUCUUGGUUGGAAAUAUUACACCCCAAAUUUAAUUCAGUUUGGAUACAACAAUGACUAUUAAGAUUGAAAAAACUGAUGAAUUAUGUUAGUUAUACAGUUUAAGAGGUCAAGGAUGUGAUAUAUGAGAAACAAUUUUGUCCGUUACACAUGAAUAUCUGUAUGGCACUGUGUAUGCUGGCGAGAUGUGUGAGAUGUUGGUCAUAACGUUGUGGAUUCUGGCGAGAUGUUUGUGAUGACGUUGGUUGUCGAGAUGCACUAACUAGGGGUGCAUGCAUGGCCAUAGGCCAUAAUUAAAUUUUCAUAAUGGACUAAUUUUCUGUCGGUUAGUUAAUGAUCAAUGGUAUUAGCUAAGCAAUGGACAUGGGCAUGUUCAUUUAUAAAGCACAAUGUUUUCAGUCAUUUGUACAAGUUAGGAAUUAUAUGCUUUUUGCGUGAGAUUUCAGCUGUUCAAAAAGUAGAUUUAUGUUGACAUAAUUAUUAUAAGUUUCAUUGUAGAACAUAUUUAAUCGAGACGUGCGUGGCACGUGCAUACUUACUAGUACUCAUAAAUAGUUGUUUUGACCCCUCAAAUUGCUGAUGUUUGUCUACUAUUGACUUUACAGACUCACAAAACUAGAUCAAACAACCCAUGGGGCACUUCUAUCAAUGUGGAAAACUAUAGACUUAAUAUGACCAUGACUUGACAUUUUAGAUAAAGUACGCAUGCUAGAAGAAACACAAUUUCUCUCUGGUUGUUGCCCUUACCCCCAUUUUUGCCCGAUAUGCUUGUGUACGCACACAAUAAAAUGCAUUAAUUUUUUAAUCCAUAAUAUAGUGACCAAUCAUUCCUCUUGUUUUCUGAACCAUGUCCAUGUUGAGUAUGAUUUCUGGCAUGUGGACUCCCAUCUUAUGGCAUGUUCUUGUUUAAUACAGUAAAAGAAUUGAUUCUUAGAAUAUCACUACCCCUUACCCUAAAAGUUAACUCCAUAUACCAUACCUCCAAACUUAACUCCUCAAAAGUUGACGGGUUCAAUUUUUGUGCACAGCCCUUCCCUGAAUAUAACUCACUUUUGGGUGGGAUAGGGCUAGGAUUGGGAGGGAGCAACUUUUUCUCAAAUAUAGGCAGAAUUUGCUCCUCCCUAAACUUAUCUCGUCAUAUUUGAAGGAGUUACACAUUUUAUAGGAAGUUUUAGAUAGUGUAACCCUCUAAAGAUAUUUGUUUUUAGGGAGUAACAGUUGUAUAUAGAUAUUUGAGGCCUGGAUAUGCUCCAAGGGCAGCCUUUUUUAUGGUGGAGGUGAGCCUAACACUACAAGAAACCUGUUAAUUCAUGACGGAUUCCUGAUGACAUUUUCAGAUUCUGUCAUGAAUGAGUUGGUACAGCCCCGCAAGCCCGCCGAAGCCCACUAAAGCCCGGCUAAUUGUUCCCCGUAUAAAAACCUAACCCUAACACCCUCCUCGCCCCCUCCCUCCGCCGCAGCCUCCUCCCAAUCCCGCAUCGUCUCCAACACAUCGCCCCCAACUCGCCGCCUCCCUCCUCCCGCAGUUCACCGCCGGCCCUCCCCUCCCCUCCUCUCACCUCACAGCUCUGGCGGCUCCUAGCUCUACCACAACCCCCACCCAUCUCUCUCUCCCUCCCUUCUAUGAACCGUUCAAGUUGGAAGGUAGGAGUCUUAUAGCUUUUAUCCUAGAACCAGUUCAAGUUGAAGACUCAAGUCCCAUGCUGAGUAAAAUAAUCUAACGGGCCAAUAUGUCAGUUAUGAGAAGUCGUAGCAGUCCAGAGAAACUGAGGAAAUUGCAGACGGAAAGAAAUCAAUGGCCACUUUAUAUUAUUCUGUACAAGGUGGAAGGAGCCAAACCUUUAGAGGCAACCAGGAAACUUAGUCACCAUUUGCUUAGAAAACUUAGCUCAUAACAUGCCCCUAGUUGCUACUUCCUCUAUUCCAUAUUUAUUGAAGUUAUAUUUUUGUCCUUAGUCCAAAUUUGAAGUUCAUAAUAAAAUUUAUUUUUAUACUAUGCAUAUUUAAUGUUGCAGAUGUUAGCAUAUUUUCAUACAGACUUGAUCACAUUUAAAGACUUGACUGAGCACAAAAGUUGAACUUCAUUUAAUCUGGAAUGGAGGAAAUAGCUUGAAUAUUGUCCAUUGCCGUCACAUCGUUUGCAAUGGAUGUCGGUUAAACCAAUCAUUAACUCACCUAAGUGUUUUUUCGCUCUACUUUGUGUGGGUUCAAUGAUUUUUAGUCGAAGGACACAAUAUAGAAGUAGACACCAAACUGUGGUAAGUAAAUAUGGAUUAUCACAUAGCGGAAUAGUAAGUUUACCUUUGAGUUUUAACCAUGCCAAUGAAGUGCAUACAAAUAGCAGAAAACUGCUUCCUAAAACUGGCAGCACAAUCUUCAGAACAUUCCUCUUUGUUCCUUUACCUGCAAAAUACAUAAAUUCAUACAUAGCAUAAAAAAUAACAAUCAUAGCUAGUAGAGAGGGAGGGAUUUGGCACCAGAUGAUGUUGCGUCCAAGCCUGCAGGUCGGAGAUAGAGUGUGUCGCUACCGUGCUCUUCGCCUAUUUUCCCAGUGUCAACCAAUUCCCCAGACCACACCAAGCACCUCGUCACGUCUCCCCUGGACCUGCCGCUGCCAAGGUUGGCAUACGCGUACGCCACACACGAGCAGUUGCGCUUGCACUCAGCCGCACACUCCUCGAACGUACUCGUGCCCCCGCCGACAAUUGAAAAUCUGUCAGGCGACUUCAUCCUUGACAGGGCCAAGAAGCCGUCGGUGCACCCUUGCAGUGGCUCUUUUCGCCGGCACCCUGCUGAAAAACUACCAUUGGUCCAGUCCAUCAUGUUUGCCGGCUCGAAGCCAUCAAAGCACUUGCACGUCGGGAUUGGCGCUGCUGUCUCAUCGCAGUAGCCAUAUGUGCCACAAUAACCAUACCGGUUGCAUUCGGGGGAUGGCCACUUCCCGAGGACUAACCACGUCAAUGUUUUGCUAUUCCAACUCUGGACUAGGUACUCUCCGGAGUAGGUCAACACGUACCUGGUGUGUGGGGCGCCGUCGGAGAGGCUGUAGGUGAUGUAGAUCUCCUCGUCGCUGUCCACGACGGCUAGGUAGAUGAUGAUGUCCGCGCUGGUGUUCGCCUGCUGGCAUCGACGCUCGCUCUUCACCAGGUACCCUGUCCAUGGCCCGCUGCGUGAAAUCGGGCGAUCCCCAUCCCAAAGAAUUACUUGGAGGAACGUGAUUGGAUCGCCGCCGUAGGAGAAGCGCCCCGACGAAGGGUCGCCAGGGCCCUUCCAAGAAACCAGACGGUCACUAGUGCCAGGCUUGUUGUACCGGAUCCGGAGCUUCAUGCCAGGGAGGAACGUGUCGGUUGGAUGGUCAAAGCUCUGCCAUAACGUGGUGCCGUUCGAUGACCGGAUGACGAGGUUGCCGUUGUUCAGAAGCACUGCCACAGGGGGAGACGAUCCCAUGGGAGUAGUCACGUUAGUCGUCAUCCAAACGGCACGGCCACUGCCAUCACCGUCGGAUAGAACAAGAUUGGAGGUGUUGGUGAGGAAGAGCAUCAGUGUAGUCGUGUUGGUGGCCGGAGUUUCUCGGUUGGCGACCCACACGGUGGUGAGCUCAGGAACAUCAUUGUACCAUAUGCCGAGGUACAGUCGGGCUGGAGUGCUGGAGUUGGAAGGCGAGAAGAAACCUAAGGCGAAAGCACCGCCGUCGGAGACGAUGGUGGAGUUUGGGGAGAGCGGCUUACCGGGGACAAGCCGGUCGUCGGAAGCACUCAACGGCAAGAGGAUGAGAAGGAUCAGAACUGUAGUGCUGGUGCAGCAUGGGGGAGCCGGCCAAUUCAUCGGUAGCUAGUAGGCCAUUCUAUUGGUGGUGCUAAGAUGGUUGGCUUGCAUCGAGCCUUGCUCACAAAGUCACAAGCAAAAAACAAAAAAAUAACGAGAGAACGACUUGUCAUAACAGACAUCUCGGCUGAGGAUUGAAUAAUGCAAAGCUUGUGGAAUUUUGGUAGAUUGGCUUGGGGUAGUUGAAUGUGCGUUGGAUGGAGUUGACAUCUGAGCUG
rnacentral:lncRNA from 1 species